rnacentral:lncRNA from 1 species
AGAAGUACCACAAAGCCUCUAACCAAAAGAGUAAAAAAAUAUUAGGUUGGGAUAUGCCUCUAACCAUGGCCAAAACCAAUAUCCAAAAUAAAAUCAAAGUGUCUAUAGAUGUCCAUAACAUGAAAUGGAGCCUUCUAAAGGAUGAAAAAUCACCACUUCGGUUCAAAAGAUGAUCCCCCGAGUCAACCACUAUGUAGGAGGAAUAGAAUGUCGGUUCCUGCAUAGCCUGGGUAUACAACCGCCAGUAGAAGGGUUAGAGAGUAAUCGCUAGCAUGAACUCAGGAUAAGGAUAAAAUAAUACCAUUUAUAAAAUCAAGUAAAACCAUCCAUAAUGUAUACAACCAUAUAUUUAUGCCUAACCAAGUAAAACCAACCCCUCGGGACCUCCACCUUCCACGGCUUAGCUACACCUCCCCCUUUAAUGCCUAAUUAAAACCAUUUCCAAAUAACCAACCAAUCCAUUUAUUAUUUAUUAACCAAGGCCAUUUAGUGGUGGUAUCUUCAUACCAACCAUACUUCCAAGUACUAUCCAUAGCACACCAUAUGAAGUCUUAAGGGGACUUUCAAGUGCGCUUUAAUUUACCAUAUUAAACGUCUUGGGGAUUCCGUACCACACAAGCAUAAACAUUUAGCCAUUUACCUUUCCAAACCAUUUAAACUAUGCAUAUGUACUUUACUAAGUUUUAAACAAGUAAGAGUUUCAUUUAAAAGUAAUCAAUGCAAUGAACAUGUCUUUAUAAGCAUUUUGUCAAACACAUUGGGGGCAUAGUAUAUAUCCAAAACCAGUUCCAAUUACCAAUAACCAUUCUAUGUAUUCCUAUUAUCCAAAACCACCAUUAAUGCAUAUAAAAGCAUAAUUAAAAUCAUGGGAAACCAUAGCCAACUAUUUAUAAUCAAAACCCCUAAAUCAUAUUUGAAAAACCAAAAGCAUACAAUAAUGAAAUUAUGAAAACAAAUGAUAAAAAUCAUGCCUUUAGUUGGAACUAACAAUGAGGGAAGAGAACAUGCCUUAAUUGACAAAGUAGACAGAGAGAAAUCACCAAUGAGAUCCGUAAAUUAGCCUUUAAGAUGAAACCCUAACUCUUUGAUCCAAAAGCUUUUGAGAGGAUUUUAAAGUGUUUAAGAAUAGUUUCUAAGUGUUGAUGAAUAGAAUAAUAGAAUAAAUACUCUCCCAAGUAGGUUAGAAGUCGUGGGUUCCUAUUAAGGUAAGUAGGAAAAUAUCUAGAAUACCCCUGCUUAAGUUGCACAAAAACCCAUCACAGGGAUACAACUGACCCUCAUAAGUCGUACCUUUCCUAUACAAGUGGUACCUGCCACUCAUAUCCCAACCUCAACCCUUGGACCCAACACUGUCCAGUAUAUGACUUAUCCAAUAAAGUUAUAUCCACAACAUAGGAUCUGUACCUUCCAUCCAUACCCUUAGCAGAAUAGAAUACUGAGUGGCUUUAAUGCUAUCCACUAUAUGAGUAUAAGAUGCGACUUAUAUCCAAUCAUAUGACUCAUUUCUACUAAGUCGUAUCCAUUAUUGUAACCUAUCCAAUUCCAUCAUCCAGCAAUGGUCAGUUUAUGAUAGGACCAUACCACUCGUACCCCAACAUAAGGCUUGUACCCAUGAGUCGUAUUGGGUCCGGAGAAUGGAAUUCUAGGAAAUUUUCUAAGGUCUAAAACCCAGGAUGUAACAUUCUCCCCACUAGGAAAAUUCGUCCCUGAAUGACGGAUAAGGUAGAAUAAAUGCCAACACGAGCCAUUUGUAUUACAAAAUAUAUUCCCAAUCUUUAUUAAAGUUAAAAAACAGAGAGGCAAAGAUAUUAAUCUUUCCUUUAACAAACUCUAAAAAUAAAGAUGUGUUCAAGGACACACACCUUCCGCACGAAUCCCAGAAGCAGAAAACAAGAGCGGAUACUUGGAUUUUAUGUCCUCUUGUGUUUCCCAUAUAGCCUCUUCCACCUUGUGGUUUUUUCAUAGAACCUCAACCGAAGCCAUAUCUGUUGUUCACAAUCGAUAAACCUACCUAUCCAAUAUCUCAAUUGGGAUCUCUUCACAAGAUAGAGAAUUCGAGAUACCCAAUCCUUCUAUAGGAACAACCGAUGAAGGAUCACUAAUGCAUUUUCUCAACAUGGAAACAUGAAAUGCCAGAUAAACCAAGCCUAAACUGUAAGGUAACUCCAAUUCAUAAUCAAUAUUACCAGCCCUUCGCAAAAUUAAUUAAGGACUAAUAUACCGAGGACUAAGCUUUUCCUUCUUUCCAAAUCACACUACUUUCUUUAUGGGAGACACAUUUAGGAAAAACUUAUCCUUAACCUCAAACUCUAAGUCUCUAUGCCUAGAAUCGCAUAAGACUUUUGAUGACUCUAGCCUCAUUAAGCCUAUCCCAAAUCACCUUCACCUUCUCUAUAGCUUGAUAAACAAAAUACGAACCUAACAUGUCCGCUUCACUAAGCUCAAACCAAUCAAUAGGAGAUAUAUACCUCCUACUCUACUGUAACUCCCUGAGUCUGUACCUCAGAUUCCAUAUGAUGCUUAUAACCCCGAUAGACCACAAGCUAACCCAUGACUGAUAUCUGCUGUGAGCAUUGAAUAAUAAUACUGAUAUAAAUGCAAAAAAUUAGGAUGAAAUUCCAUAAGGUUUGAAACACCUAAAAUACUAAUAAAAUAUAACAUCUGCAAAACUGAAUACUGUCUAAAAACUAGUCUGAAAAGCCUCUAACUAAAACCAUCUGAAAGUGGAUUUGAUGGGAUAAUCCCCCAACUAGCUUCAUCUACUAAAAUAGUGAGUUUACUAAAAUAAUAAAAUAAAAGAAUAUCCUCGAUAGAUGAGGACUCACUACUAAAUCUGAUAUGCUAGUUAAAUCUAAAUCUGUCUAUGCGCGGUUGGGAACCAGAGUGUCAGAACCUAUGAUAUGAGGCAUCAUAGUACAAAGAAAGAGUAUGCAUCAGUAUGUGGAAUAUAUUGGUAUGCUAGAUGAGGUAAGGCUAAACGCAAGGGUUUAUAUGCAUGAAUAAUAAUUGACUGAAUUAUAUAGAGUAACUAAACAUGAGAGUACAUAGAUAGUCUAAACUGUUGUAAAUACUGAGUAUGCAAUAUUGUGCAUAUAUAUAUAUACUAUAACUGAUCAUUUUUGAAGCUAAGUACUGAGUUGUAGUACUGAGUAACUGAUAGUCUGAGUUACUAAUAACUAAGUUACUAAUACUGAUUGACUCUAUCUGACAGUCCUGAUUCUGUAGAAGUAAACUAAGUUCUAUACCGAAGACUAAAACUGAAACUGUGGGAGGUAAUCAUCUAACCGACCCAAAUAAGAUAAGAUAAAUAAGUUGGGUCCAACCUAUAACCCUAAUGGAAGGGUGUCAGUACCGUGCCACGGGUAAAAACAACUGAAGAGAUACCCUCAUCUGGUAGGUAAUCUAAUGAGAACGGUGGAACCCUCAUCUGGCAGGUUAAAAUACUUCAUCAACCCUCAACUGACAGGUUUGAUGUCUCAACCUAUGCUGGCUACGUAGUUUUUGAAUGCAAGGAUUGCUUCUAAGGAUCACACUCUAUAUCGGCAGGUGAGACCCCAUCCCUAGGUUCACUCCGUGCUGAAUCCUACUCUCAACUGAAAGACACAGGACUGAUUAUACUGAACUAGACUGGACUGAUACUUAGUUUACUGAGUUUUCCUAUGUUCUAUAACUGACUUAGUUCGACUGAUCGUGACAUGGAUGAUACUAUUCUGUAGCUGACAUUGGAUCUAGAUAAAUAACUAAAUUAUCGGGUAUUGAAUACCCCCAGGACUCAAUAGCAUCAAAGUAAAUCAUAGCAAAAUCUUGAAAACAUAAUAAUGGCUACUUGAUCACAAUCCAAUCAUUGAGAUAUUUUAACAAACACUUGUAAUGUAUUUACUUAUACAUGAAUGGGGAAUACAUGCUAUCAUGUUAUAAUGGCACUAUUUCACUCACAGAGGCAUUUUAUCAAAUACAUGGGGAGCAUGCUUAGGUUAUUCAAUAAUCAACACAUGUAAUUAUCAUGGCCACAUCAAACAACUUGCAAAUUGAAGGGUUUAUCAUGAAGAUCAUGUAAUUCAACACAUAUAAUGAUUAAUUUCAUGAAAUCUUGUAAUUUAAUCAUGGACUAAGACCCAACAAUAACAUAAACAUGAAUUCAAUUCAAUUCAAGCAUGUGAGUUCAUAAUUCAACAAUCUUGUAGUUUAAAAAAAGGACUCGUGGACUCUAUGGGUCAAAGAAAACCAUAGAUGAACACCUAACAUACCUUAAUUUAUGGGUUUAUUGAGUUCUUGAUGACUCCUUUGAGAUUUCUCUUGGUUUCUUGAAGUUAGGGUUAUGUUAAUUGAGAGAGAAAACUUGUGAUUUGGGGAAAAGUUAAUAAUAAACAAAUGGUUUAAAAUAUUUUUAGGGCUUUAAUCUCACACCUGGGAGGAAUAAAAUCAUGGGAAAAGAGCCAUUUAACCCUGGACAACAUUUAAAUUUUUGUCAAAAAUUUCCGAACUGGGCCCCUGGUGCGACGCACCAAGAUCGUGUCGGGCCACUGGAAAUUGUGAACUGGGAAUGUGGUUGGUGGCACGACGCGGUGGUUUUUUGUUGGUACACUGGAAAUUGACAAAUGUUAAAAUGCUGCUUGGUGCGACACACCAAUAUCUCUAUGGAACACUGGAAAGUGACCAUUGCCAUUUGGCUGGCCUCCGCGAUGCGUUGGUGGCCAAAUUGGCACACUAUUUUACAAAAAUGGCCAUAACUCUUCGUCCGGGUGUCGUAUUUGGGUGAAUUUUAUAUCGUUAGAAAGAUAAUUAAAUUUUCUAUGCAAUGUCAGGAUCUAAAUUGAAAAAUACUAAGUAUUUCAAAAAUUUUAUAUUGGAUAACUCAUGGAUUGAGAGUUAAUUUAAGUUAGGGAAAUACGGGGUAUUACACAUACAAUGCCUCAAAAGGGGCCAUACCAAUACUAGAAUGAUAACUAUUGUUGUAAUCAAACUCUACCAAGGGUAGAUGCUCAACCCAAUUUCCACCAUAGUUAAUCACACAGUCCCAAAGCAUAUCCUCCAAUGUCUGAAUAGUUCUCUUCGCUUGCCCUUCCGAUUGUUGAUGAAAUUAAUACUCAGACUAACCUUAAUCCCCAACCCUUUCUGGAAAGACCGCCAGAAGUGAGAUUUAAACUGUGUGCCAUAAUCAGAAAUAAUCAAAAUAGGUACCCCAUAUAGAUUGAAAAUCUCUUAAAGAUACAACUUUGCAUAAUCCUCCGCUGAAAAGGUAGCCCUCACUGGAAGAAAGUGAGCAGACUUCAUCGUUAUCCUAUCCACAAUGACCCAAAUCAAAUCAAAAUAAUUUCGAUACCGAGCAAGACUGUUUACGAAAUCCAUAUUGAUCAUCUCUCAUUUUUAUUUGGGCAACUCAAUUUCUUGAUGCAAUCCACCGACCCUCAUGUGCUCAACCUUAACCUGUUGACACACCAUGCAUUUGGCCAGAAAAUCAUCCACAUCCUUUUUCAUACCAUUUCACCGAUAGAUCUUCUUGAGAUCAUGAUACAUCUUUGUCGAUACGGGAUGAACAACAUAGCAUGAUUCAUGCACCUCAGCAAAAAUCCUUUGCAGCAAACUCUUGACAUCAGGAACCAUAACCUUUCUUGGUACCGUAAAGUACCAUCACCACUGAUCUCAAACAUCACCACCUCUUUUCCACCAGCAUCACUCUUCAUUUUUAUCAAGAUAGGAUCUGGCACUUGCUUCUCUUUAAUCUUUGCAUCAAGAGAUGAUUGAACCAUUUCUUGCACCAUCACACUACCACCCUUGGAGUCCAAGAGACAAACUCUAAAAUUAUCCAAGCAGUGAAUAUCCUUCACCAAUUCCUGCUUCCCUUUCUCCACAUGAGCUAAACUCUCUAUGGACAACCUGCUAAGAGCAUCAUCAACUGCGUUAGCCUUACCUAGGUGGUAGUGAAGACUCAUAUCCUAGUCCUUGAGAAGCUCAAGAAUCUUCUCUACCAGAGAUUAAGCUUUUUUUAAGUGAGCACAUACAAUAGACUCUUAUGAUCAGAAAAGAUAUCUACGUGAACACCAUACAAAUAAUGCCACCAUAUUUUCAAAGCUAACACAACCGCCAACUGUUCUAAUUCAUUAGUAGGAUAAUUCCUCUCAUGCACCUUAAAUUCCUAGAAGAAUAGACAAUCACCUUUCCAUGCUACAUAAAAACACAAAGAAGUGUUGCCCGAGAUGCAUCACGAUAAACCACAAACCUAUCAUUGCUUUCCAGCAAAGUCAAAAUUGGUGCCAAAGUUAACCUAUCCUUCAAUUUAUCAAAACUCCCCUCACAAGAUUCCGACCAAGAAAACUUAACCUUUUUCUGAGUCGACUUAGUCAAAAGAGUAGCUAUCGAUGAGAAUCUUUGCACAAACCACCUAUAAUACUUGGCUAAACUCAAGAAACUCUGACGUCGAAUGGAGUCGUGGGUCUAGGCCACCCCUUCACCAUAACAACCUUUUGAGGAUCAACCAUUAUCAACUCACUAGAAAUAAUAUGACCUAAGAGAGUCACAAAGUUCAACUAAAACUCACACUUAGAGAACUUGGCAUACAACCACUAUUUCUUUAAGGUUUGUAACACCACACGGAGGUGAUUAGCAUGAUCCACCUCACUCUUCAAAUAAACCAGAAUGUCAUUAAUAAAAAUAAUGACAAAGAUAUCUAAAUACUGCCUGAAAACUCUAUUUAAUAGAUCUAUAAAUACCGCCAGGGCAUUAGUCAAUCCAAAUGACAUCACCAAGAACUUAAAAUGCCCAUGCUGAGUAUGAAAAGUUAUCUUAGGGAUAUCCACCUCCCUAAUCUUAAGCUGAUGGUACCCAAAUCAAAGAUCUAUCUUGGAAAAGAACUUGGCACCUUCCAACUGGUCAAACAAAUCAUCUAUUCUAGGGAGAGGAUACUUGUUCUUGACCGUUCCCUUAUUUAACUACCUAUAUUUAAUGCACAUCUGAAGAAAACCAUCUUUCUUGCACAUAAAUAACAUCGGUGCAUGCUAUGAUGAAUAAACCCCUUGUCUAGAAGACCCUUAAGUUGAUUCUUGAGUUUUCUCAACUCAGUUAGAGAUAUUUUACAAAGAGAAAUAAAUAUUGGAUGAGUGUCUGAAAGCAAAUCAAUACCAAACUCUAUUUUUUCGGAAAAACCUUCGGAAACUCAUUAACCACAAGAACUGAUUAUGAAGAAGGACCUUCCGAACUAGAAUCUUUAACUUGGACCAAGUGAUAAAGACACCCCUUGGAGAUAAACCUUCAAGCUCUAAGAUUAGAAAUGAACCUUCCUCUAGGUGCAAGGCAACCACCCUCCAGUUCUGUAAUCGGUUCACCAGGAAACUUAAGGAUAACCUUCCUUGCCCGAUAGUCUAAGGAUGCAUAACAGGAGUGUAACCAAUCCAUACCUAAGAUAACAUCAAAACCCACCAUUCCCAAUUCAAUCAGAUCCACUAGAGUCUGCUUGCCACCAGUAGAUACCACCCCCCCUAUAGACUCUCUUAGAGAUAACUGAGUUUUCUACCGAGGUAGGAAUAGAAAAGAGAUUCAAAAUCACUUUAAGAUAAAUACCAAAAAAUACAGCCACAUAAGGAGUCACAUAAGAAAGAGUGGAGCCCAAAUCAAGAAAAUAAUAUAUAUCACAGGAAAAAAGUUGUAACGUACCAGUAACGACAUCAGGUGAUACCUUAAAUUCCUAUCUAGACACCAAAUCAUAUAAGUUAUUCCGACCAGCACUAGAACCAGGAUUAGUAACAGAAGAAGAUGCCACAUCACUAGGUGUAGGAGCAGAAAAUGAAGACACAAAAAUCUUUCACAACGACCUGAUUAAUUGGACAAUCCCUAAGCCGAUGACCUGGAUGGCCACACAUGAAGCAUUUGUCCCUUUCUUUUACACAAUAACCCUGAUGGGGUUGACCACAGAACCAAUAAGGAGGGCAUGAAGAAAUUAACUAACCUUCGCUCACUUGAGAUUGGGUACCCUGCUAAAAAAUUAUCACCACCUCUAUGAUGCUUGUCUCCCGAUUACUUUGGGUAAGGGGCACUAGCAGUAGAGAAGGAACUCAAGCUCCCCCACUUCUUUUUUUGCCACUUUGCACUAUCUCGACUACCCUAUGACUAAGCACCUUGUUGAUCUAAAAACCUGCCUCUCUUUCCGCAUCUAUCUCUAAGCUCUGCUCUACUUCUCUUCUUAUUACUUACUGCAUAUGAAUAGUCAACCGAGAAAUAUCCAUAUCUUUAAUAAGUAAAGUAGUCUUGCUCUCCAAUAUCAAAUCCUGAUUCAAACAAGAAUAAAACUUCCUCAUUCUCAUCCUCAUGUUAGCCACCAAAUAAGGAGCAUACCUUGAUAGCUGAUGGAACUUCAAGGCAUAUUCCUUGACAAUCAUUCUCCCCUGGUUGAGAUUCACAAACUCCUCCAUCUUAGCUUCCCUAGCUUCUGAGGAAAGAAAUGAUCCAAGAAGGCUUUAGAAAAGGCAUCCCAUAACCCUGAUUCUUCCACAUCACCCAUAUCCCUAUCCCACUCCUCAUACCACUGAUAAGUAACUUCUUUGAGCUUAUAAGUUGUAAGGUUUACCCCCUCCACAUUGGUAGCCUGCAUUACCCAAAAUAUCUUUUCCAUUUUAUCCCAAAAGCCUUAUAGAUCCUUCUCUACCUUCACUCUAGUAAAAGUAGGAGGACCCAUUUUUAUAAAUUAUCCAACCCUUGUGUCCUCAGUAGACAACCCACCAGAUAUAUCCCGCUCAGCCUGAGAAGCAACCAACUAAGAAAAAACAUAGAUAGAUUGAAGAAAUUUUGCAUUUGUCAUGUUUCCUUGAGGGACCUGAGGAGAACUGGUAGGAUUAAGAGGAACUCCAACACUAUCAGGAAUAGGACCCUGAGAUUGAAUAUAAACCCUCGACGUAGGGCAUACCCUUUCAACAGUAUUCCUAGAUGGGACAUAAGAAUUUUUUUGUGUUCUAGAUCUACGGGAGAUGAUCUAAAAUAUGAAUAUAGAAGGAUUAGAGAAGAUUCCAAGACUUUAGACUCCAACAUUGAAAAUAGAAUACCAAGAAAGUGAAACAUUCCUAAAUGCCUUGUAGCCUCUCCCUUAUAAGUGUCUGCGCACUCCUAAAAGAGACUCUACUCGACACAGAUUUGUGGACUCCUAGUUGAACAUGAACCUAAAGCUCUAAUACCAACUUAUCAGGACUCGAAAGGGCCUAGACGUAAUCCUAAGUUCAACUAGGAUAGGGGACCACCCCCUAUUACCCAACCCAACCCCUUAUUAAACCUUUGAUGGGCUGGAUUUUAAGCAUAUAACAAGAUAACAUAAAUGCUCUAAUGAAGACUCUAAGAUAGGGUCACAAUCGUGCCCUACCAACCGAGUUCUAUUAUACAAAGCCAACCGUCCGACCAUACCAAAAACCAAAGGCCAUAACCAAAUGGAUACCAAAGCAUAUAAUUAUAAUUAAUCCUAAAAUAUAAUAUGAUGAAAUAACCAACAAUAUUGUCCAAUGAUGUAAUCCCCAAUAUCAAUGAAAAUAUUAAGGCUGAUACCAAUACCGAUCCCACCCAUACCAACCCUCAGAAGUACCACAAAGCCUCUAACUAAAAGAGUAAAAAUAUCCAAUUGGGACAUGCCCCUAACCAUAGCCAAAACCAAUAUCCAAAUAAAAUCAAAGUUUCUAAAAAUGUCCAUAACAUGAGAUGGAUCCUUCCAAAAGGAUAGAAGCUCACUACUUUAGGCAAAAUACUGAUCCCUGAGUCAACCAGUAUGUAGAAGGAGUUGAACGGCUGGUUCCUACAUAGCGUGGGUAUAUAGCCACAGUAGAUGGGUUAGUGAAUGAUCACUAGCAUGAACUUAUGAUAAGGAUAAAAUAAUACCAUUUAUAAACCCAAGUAAAACCAGUCAUAAUACAUACAACUAGACAUAUAUAAUAAGUGUCGGGAAAGGGAUCUGGGUUUAGCAUGUAUUUAAAACCUUUACCUAGGUUGUGUUGCUUUGCCAUCCUAAACUACCCAUGGGCAAUAUGGGUUCAACUCCCUCUGCUGAAAGGGCCCCAGUGUGUGUAGCUGCCCGACCAGGGAAGAUUACCCUGGGAUGACUAGUACAUCCCCUAAUAUAAGGUAUGACAUCAUGCACACAAUCACUAAGACCAAAACUCACAUCAAUAAAUAUGAGUUUCCAAUUUUGGUCCCCCAGGACCUCUACUUUCUAUGGCUUAGCUACACCUUCUCCUUUAAUGCCUAAUUAAAACCAUUUCCAAAUAACCAAAUAAUCUAUUUUCCAUUUAUUAACCAAGGCCAUUUAGUAGUGCAUCGUCAUACCGAUAAUACUUGCAAGUACUAUCCAUAGCCAACCAUAUGUAGGUUUAAGGGGACUUUCAAGUGUCAUUCCAUUUACCAUAUUAAACCUCUUAGGGAAUUCCGUACCCCACAAGCAUAAAUAUUUAGACAUUUACUUUUCCAAACUACUCAAACCAUGCAUAAGUCCUUUAUGAAGUUUAAAAUAAGUAAGAGUUCAAUUUAAAAGUAAUCAAUAUCAUGAACAUAUCUUAAUAAGCAUUUUGUCAAACACAUUAGGGGCAUAGUAUAUAUCUAAAACCAAUUCCAAUUACCAAUAAGGAUUCCAUGUAUUCCAAUUAUCCAAAACCACCAUUAAUGCAUAUAAAAGCAUAAUUAAAACCACGAAAAACCAUAACCAAGUAUUUAUAAACAAAACCCCCAAAUCAUAUUUGAAAACCCAAAAGCAUAUAAUAGUGAAAUCAUAAAAACAAAUGAUAAAAACCAUGCCUUUAGUUGGAACUAACAAUGAGGGAAUAAAACAUUCCUUAAUUAGCAAAGUAGAUGGAGAGAAAUCACCAACGAGAUUUGUAAACUGUCCUUUAAGAUGAAACCCUAGGUCUUUGCCUCAAAAGCUCUUAAGUGUAUUUUAGAGUGCUUAAGAAAUUUUUUUAAGUGUUAAUGAAUAGAAUAAGAGGGUAAAUACUCUCCCAAGUAGGUUAGAAGUAAUGGGGUCCAAUUAGGGUAAGUAGAGAAAUAUCCAGAAUACCCCCACUUAAGUUGUAUAAAUCCUAUCAAAAAAAAAUGAUUGACCCUCAAGAGUUGUACCCUUCCUAUACGAGUGGUACCCACCACUCAUAUCCCAACCUCAAACCUUAAAACCAAUAUUGUAUAGUAGACAACUUAUCCAACCAAGUCAUAUCCACAAUAUAUGAUUUGUACCUUCAAUCCAUACCCCUAGCAAAAUAGAAUACCAAGUGGAUUAAAUGUUCUCCAUGAUAAGAAUACAAAAUACGACUCGUAUCCAAAAUAUACAAUUUAUAUACCCUUAGUUAUAUCCAUUCUAGUAUCCCAUCCAAUACCAUCAUCCAACACUGGUUAGUGUAUAAUAGGACUAUACUACUUAACCCCAAUAUGCGGCUUGUAUCUAUGAAUCAUAUUGGGUUUAGAGAAUGGAAUUAUAGAAAAUUUUCUAAGGGUCAAACGCCAGGAUAUAACACUUAUAAAUACUGGAAACUAAACUAUUUAUCUAAAAUAACUGAUAAUACUAAAAACUGAAUGACUGUUUAUCUUCUGACUGACCAUCUGUCUGAAACCUGUAAAUAUCAUGAGGAGUUGAUGGGAUAAACUCCCAACUAACUCCAACUAAUUGAACAUAAAGGAAUACUGAAAUAACUAUAAAAGUAAAUCAUAUCCUCAAUGGAUAAGGACUCGCCACUACUACUGUUGAGUAAUGUUGGGUUAUCUAAGAACGGUCAGGAAACUGAGCAUCCGAUCUUAUGUAAUAAGAUAUCAAAGCACAAAGAAAAGUUUGUAAUAAAUACUUUGAAUGUAUUGGUACGUGCUAAAGACUAACUAAAAUUCAUGAGAUAAAAUUUAUAAACAUGCAACAUAUAAGAAUGCAAGACCAAGCAUAAAAUAUGUUUCUGACAUUAUCUGAAAUAUGAGAGACUAAAAUCUAUAUAAUUGAACAACUGAAUAGAUAUACGCCUGGUCAAGAAAACCUGCUCUAAAAUACACCAACUACUGAUCGAGACUGUGGAAGGUAUCAUGUAACCGACAUACCCCAAUCUAAGCUAAUCAGAGUCUAACUUGUAACCCAGUUGUGUAAUGCCCCACACUUUCCUAAGCUGGAAAAUGAACCGUUGUUCGUAUAUGUGAAAACCCUAAUUUUGUAUGACAUAUUUGGGAACCUAAAUUACCAAGAGUACCCUAGUUAUAAGAGAGCUUAUGAUGUGUUAAGUGUGGUUAUAUGAGUCACUUAAGGCAGUACAAGCUAAGAGUUUCAAAAUCCAUUAAGUUUUAGUGUUUUAAUUCACAAGGGUCAUCUUUGAAUAAGCAUAACUUGAUAAAUAUAUGGUAUUUAUGCAUAUUUAUACCCCCAAAUUAUAGUGAAUCGAAUUAUCUUUCCAACGAUACCAAUUUCACCAAAAUUCAAAACCCGAGCUAGGAGUUAUGACUUUGCGAAGUAGAGUGCAUCGCCUAACCAAUCGCACAUGGCCAUUGGAAAGCAUAUGCGAUAGCAUAUGCGGCGCCUAUAUAAAAAUAGGUGAUAUCAUAUGCGGCGCCUAUGGAAAUAUAGGCAAUAUUAUAUGCGGCGCCUAUGUAAAUAUAUGCGAUAUCAUAUGCGGCGCAUAUCUUAUGGUUUCAAGUGACUUAAACACUCUAUUUUUGGGUUAUUUUGAGGGAAAUUAACUCUUUUGGCACUCCUUACACGCCCCUAAACUUAAACUUACAAAUUUAAUAGAUUCUAAACACAUCAUAACCCUAUUAUUAGUCUAAGUUCAUCAUCCAAGAACACUAAAGAAGAAAAAUAACUAUGGUUACACAAUCAACAUUGAGGGUCCAAUCUUUCAACAAAUUUGUUACCAUAAAGGUAUAUGGGGUUAUGAACAAGAACACCCUUUCGUUCUUGUUCCCAAAGUUUGCAUUAUUUUACAAAGACACAUGAUUUUUACAUGUUUUAUCAUGAAUUUGAAGUGAUAAAUCUUAUCCUAUAUUGUUGUUCAAGAUACUAUGAUUAUUUUGAAUGUUUAGAAAAUAAACUCUAUGAGUUUGAGAUUAUUGUUAUGAUUAAAGGUUGAAAUUUAUCAGAUUUUCGUAUAAAUUAUGCAUGCUUGUGAUAUAAAGUAAAUGUUGAAAUGUUUUGAUUAAGUAUCGCUAUAAGGGUCAUUAACCCACAUUUAGAUUGUUGUUUUGAGAAUUUAUGUGCUACAUGCACCCAUGUUUAGACUAUUUUGAUGAAGUAUAGAAAGAUUUGACCUUUUGGUCACAACAGAGGUAAAAUCCACUUUAUGAAAUAAUUUACGGAUUUUAUCAUUUAUUUAACUUAAGAAAUAUGAUAUUACCCUUAAAGUGGAUUUUUCUUGAGCUUUUUGAGCAUAGUAUUGGGAGUAGUAUUUAGCACCGAGUGAGUUGGGUAUGUUACUACGGUUUUAUACCCCAGAACAAUGUUCCACCGUAGGUUGAGACAUUGACUUCCACUAUAUGUGGAAAAUUGAGUUAGUGAUCACUGAGAUGAGAUUGUUCUACACUGAUGGCAAGGGUAGGACCACCCUAACCUUAUGGGGGCAAGUUGUGGGACAUCAUGGGUGCUCAUAUGGUGUACAUGUCGGUUAGAAGAACCUCCUAAAGAGUCGGCCCUACUGAUUUAAAAGAGAUUUUAAAUACAGAUUUAUGAUGUAUUCAAUAUUCUAGAUUUCACUAAGAUUGCUUGAUGAGAGAAUAAGAAAAGAAUCUUGAUAUUUGAAUUAAAUGUAUUGGCUUAUGAUAUCCAGAUUGGCAUGUUUUACCAUUCAUUGUGUAUGAUUUCAGAUUUUANNNNNNNNNNNNNNNNNNNNNNAACAAGAUUGAUAUAUAUAUAUAUAUAUAUAUAUAUAUAUAUAUAUAUAUGCAUAUAAAUACGUUUAUUUCAUGCACCCCCAUGUACUAGGUACAUAUUCCAUGGUACAGACCCAUAUGUUCGCAUGUGGGCUACAUUUUCCCUAUAAUGCAGGUUCAGGUGCUUAUUCCCAGGUUUGACUGUGACUAUCUGAACAGGUUGAUCUACAUCCUCUGCAGUGGUGAGUCCUCAUGGUUCGAGGACUAGUCAUUCAAAUUUCCUCAUUUACUUGAGUCGUUCAGUUUAUUUCCUGAGUUUAGGUUAGUUGGGGUUUGUCACAAUGGCUUAUGGAUAUGCAGUUUAGUAGAGGCUUUCAGACUAGAUGGAUAGAUUGAUCAAAUUUUUCAGAGAUAUCAUAUUUUGUUACUUUUCAUAUUUCAUUCGUAUUGCAGUAUGAUAAUAUGGAGGAUGUUUACAUGUUUUGAUUAUGAUGACUUUGAUUAUAAGUGUUGAAUGGUAGAAAAAUGGCUAAAAGGGUUAGCUUGGGGAUACUUGUAGCCUUAAGCAUCGUGUGAUGCCUCGGGGCCCAUUUUUGGGGUGUUACAAACUUGGUAGUAGAGCCUAAUGUUAUUGGAGUCCUAGGGAGUCUGACAAGCCAUGUUAAGUAGAGUCUUGACCAUCGGUGUGUAGUGCGCGACACCUAUGAGCAAGAGGCUACGGAAUAUUUUAGAAAAAAAAAGGGGGGUCGUUUAAUUCUUUCAGAAGUCUAUCGUGCUUACAGUUGUUCACUUUCAGCUAUUAAUUUGUUCUUUCUUCUUUCAGAAUAUGCUUCUUCACCGAGCUAAAAGAAAUAACGUGGGUCAGUAAUCUCAGCCUGCUGAUUCCUUGAAUGAGCAUGUAUCCCAUGCUGAGUUCAAGUCAGUCUUUCAGGCACUUUCUUAAGCUGUUACCGCCAUCGUUCAGGCCAACCAGGCCCUGACUCCACAGCAACAGGGAGGUCACUUAGCUGCUACAAAAAUCUGUGACUUUAUGCGGAUGAAUCCACUAGAGUUUUAUGGGUCCAAGGCAGGUGAGGAUCUAUAGUUGUAUCUGGAGGAGAUAAGGAAGAUCACACAGGUAAUGCAUGUGUCUGAGGAGAAGAGUGUUGAGUUAGCAUCCUACAUAUUGAAAGACCUUGCGUAUGACUGGGUGGUAGCAUGGAGAAAGGGUAGAGUAAAGGGUGCUGCUCCUAUGACUUGGCAGGAGUUCCAGGAUGCAUUCUUGGAUAAAUUCUUUCUGCUAGAGUUGAGAGAGGCAAAAGUAGAGGAGUUCCUAAACUUAUGGCAAGGCUCCAUAACUAUUAAGGAGUAUUACUUGAAGUUCAAUCAGUUAGUAAAAUAUGCCCCAAAUCUGAUAGCCGACAACCGCACCAGUAUGGGUAAGUUCUCGAUAGGGGUAUCAAGCUAUAUGGUUAAGAAGUGUAGAUCAGCUAUGCUUAAUAGUGAGAUAAAUCUUUCCAGACUAAUGACCCAUGCCCAACAAAUUGAAUUAGAUAAGAUAAAAGAGUGGGAUAGAGUAAGGGGGAAUAAUAGAGCCAGAUUCGAGCAACCUACUUAUGGUCAGAACAGAUCGCAAGGAGGGAAUCACCCUUAGUUUCAGAGCCACUCAUCUAUGCUAGCACCAUCGUCAGUUAGUGCUCCAGCAUUUAGAGGUAGUCAAGAAUAGGGAAAUAGGUCUUCUACGUUUGGAUCUCAAAAUAUUGUGAGUAACCGGCCUAACCAUCUACUAUGCACCAGGUAUGGUAGGGAUCAUCGGGGUAAGUAUUUGUGGGGUCAGAAGGGCUGCUAUGGAUGUGGCCAAGAGGGCCACGAUUUUAGAGAUUGUCUUCAUACCAGACAGGGGAACUAUGAUGUUCGCCUCCAGGCUCAGACUGCUAGUGCUCCAGCUCUUGUAGCUCGUCCAGCUCCUACUCAUGGUGCUUCUUCCAGUACUUUUGGCGGUCAGCACCAGAAUAUAUUCUAUGCUUUGCCUUUCCAUUAGGAGCAGGAGGACUCCCCUGAUGUUGUUACCGGUAUGCUUUAUGUGUUUUAGUUUAAUGUUUAUGCGUUGUUGGACCCUGGGUCCAGUUUUUCAUAUGUACACCUCUGGUUACUGUAAAUUUUGAAGUGAGUCCCGAGAUUGUCUCUGAUCCCAUCCUAGUUUCUACCCCUGUGGGUGAGUCCAUUAUUGCCCAAAAAGUGUACAAAAAAUACCCUGUUUCUAUUCUUCAUAAAGUUAUGUUUGCUGGUCUGAUAGAGUUAGACAUGGUAGAUUUUGAUGUUAUUCAGACAUGGUAGAUUUUGAUGUUAUUCUGGGUAUGGACUGGCUUCACUCUUGUUAUGCAUACAUAGACUGUCGUACCCGUGUAGUCAAGUUUUAGUCCCCUGGUGAGGCUGUUAUCAAGAGUCAUUUUAUCUCAUAUCUCAAGGCUAGAAAGCUUAUUUCCAAAGGGUACAUUUAUUACCUAGUCAGAGUUAAAGACACUGUGUCUGAGACUCCAACUCUCCUGUCAGUUGACGUUGUUAAUGAGUUUCCCGAUGUCUUUUCAGAAGAUCAUCCAAGGGUACCUCCCGAUAGAGAGACAAAAUUUAGAAUUGAUCUUCUUCCUGAUACUCAGCCUAUUUCCAUUCCUCUAUAUCAUAUGGCACCCGCAGAACUUAAGGAGUUGAAAGAGCAACUCAAAGAUCUCUUAGAUAAAGGUUUUAUAAGACCAAGUGUGUCUUCUUGGGGUGCACUUAUCCUAUUCGUGCAAAAGAAAGAUGGCUCUUUGCGCAUGUGCAUUGACUAUUGCCAGCUUAACAAAGUCACUAUAAAAAAAAGUAUUCCCUUCGAAGAAUAGAUGAUUUGUUUGAUCAAUUUCAAUGUACAAGUUACUUCUCAAAGAUAGAACUUCGCUCUGGCUAUCAUCAACUUAGAGUUAGGAAAUGUGAUAUCCCAAAGACAGGUUUCUAAACAUGUUAUGGUCAUUUUGAGUUUCUUGUUAUGUCCUUUGGGCUAACUAAUGCCUCAGCAGCUUUUAUGGACCUCAUGAAUCGAGUGUUCAGGCCAUAUCUUGAUAUGUUUGUCAUAGUGUUUAUAGAUGACAUUUUGGUAUACUACCGUAGUGAGAAUGAACAUGCAGAUCAUCUUCGUAUCGUUUUUCAAACCCUUAGAGAUCAUCACUUAUUCGCCAAAUACCAAGUAUGAAUUUUGGCUAAGGUCAGUUGCUUUUCUGGGUCAUAUUAUUUCUUCUGAAGGUGUUAGAGUUGAUCCCCAGAAAAUAGAAGCUAUUAGAAACUGGCCUAGGCCUGUCUCUCCGUCUGACAUUAGAAGUUUUUUGGGUCUAGCUGGCUUUACUGCCGUUUUGUUGAAGGUUUUUUCUCUAUAGCAUCUCCUAUGACCCAGUUGACCCAAAAUAAAGUGAAGUUCUUAUGGUCCGAUUCUUGUGAGAAUAGUUUUCGGGAGUUGAAGACUCGACUCACUACAAUCCCUGUUUUGACUCUGCUUGAUGGCGUUGACAGUUUUAUGGUAUAUUGUGAUGUUUCUAGAGUUUGUUUAGGUUGUGUACUGAUGCAGAUAGGUAAGGUUAUAGCCUAUGCCUCUAGACAGCUGAAACCCCAUGAGAAGAAUUACCCCACCCAUGAUCUUGAGUUAGCUGCUGUUGUGUUUGCUCUGGAAAUCUGGAGACACUACUUGUAUGGUGUUCAUGUUGAUGUUUUCACUGAUCAUAAGAGUUUGCAGUAUGUUUUUACCCAGAGAGAUUUGAAUCUUAGGCAGAGAACGUGGUUAGAGUUAUUGAAAGACUAAGAUAUGAGUGUGUUAUAUCACCCGAGAAAGGCUAAUAUAGUGGUGGAUGCCCUUAGCAGGAUGCUAUGGGUAGUGUUUUGCAUAUUGGAGAGGGUAAGAAAGAGUUGACUCGUGAUGUGCAUAGGUUGGAUAGGUUGGGCGUUAGGUUGCUUGACUCCACUGAAGGGAGUAUAUUAGUACAGAGUAGCUCCGAAUCCUCCUUGGUUUCGAAAGUAAAGGAGAAGCAAAACUUUGAUGCUAGUUUGGUCAGACUGAAAGAAUCAGUUUAGGACCAAAAGGUGGAGGUUUUCUCCUAAGGGGGGGAUGGUGUGUUGAGAUUGUAGGAUAGAUUAUGUGUUUUGGAUGUCGAGGAUCUAAGUCAGAGAAUUAUGGAUGAAGCGCACGUUGCGCAAUAUUCUAUUCAUCCUGGUGCCACCAAGAUGUACCGCAACUUGCGGGAAAUCUAUUGGUGGAGUGGCAUGAAGAAGGAUAUAGCAGCAUUUGUGGCUAAGUGUGCGAUGUGCCAAUAGGUUAACGUAGAACACCAAAGACCUGGUGGCAUGAUGUAGGAGUUUGGUAUUCCCACUUGGAAGUGGGAAGAGAUAAACAUGGAUUUUGUGACUGGUUUACCUCUUUCCCGAUGCCAUCAUGAUUCCAUUUGGGUUGUUGUGGAUAGAUUGACUAAGUCUGUGUACUUCUUGCCUAUGCAUACUUCUUAUAUUGCUGAGGAUUACGCUAGAUUGUACAUCCAAGAAUUUGUCAGAUUGUAUGGAGUUCCCUUGUCCAUCAUUUUAGAUAGGGGUACUCAGUUCACUUUGCAGUUUUGGAGAGAUUUUCAGAAGGGUCUUGGUACCCAAGUGCAUUUGAGUUCUGCUUUCCAUCUGCAAACAGAUGGUCAGGCUAAGAGGACCAUCCAGACCUUAGAGGCUAUGUUGAGAGCGUGUGCUCUUGACUUUAAGGGGAGUUGGGAAGAGCAUUUACCGUUGAUAGAGUGUGCUUACAAUAACAAUUUUCACUCUAGCAUUGGCAUGGAUCCAUUUGAGGCUUUGUAUGGGAGGAAAUUUAGGUCACCCAUAGGUUGGUUUGAAGUGGGUGAAGUGGUCGUACGUGGUCCUGAUUCAGUCUUUGAAACUAUGGAAAAAGUCAAAGUGAUUAGAGAAAGAUUAAAAAUUGCACAGAGUUGUCAGAAGUCAUAUGCUGAUGUGAGGAGAAGAGACCUUGAAUUUGAAGUUGGUGACUUAGUGUAUUUGAAGAUUUCACCCAUAAACGGAGUGAAGAGAUUCGAAAAGACAGGGAAACUUAGUCCCCGUUAUGUUGGCCCCUACAGAGUUCUUAGCCGUGUUGGUAAGGUAGCGUAUGAGGUUGAGUUUCCUUCAGAGUUAUCUUCCGUUCACUCUGUCUUCCAUGUAGCCAUGCUUAGGAAACACGUUGGUGAUUGUGUUGUUGUAGAUCCUUCAGAAAACCUUGAUGUGCAAGAUAGUCUUUCUUUUGAGGAAGUUCCUGUUGAUAUUUUAGAUCACCAAGUUCGAAGACUAAGGAACAAAGAAGUUCCCUUGGUCAAGGUGUUGUGGCGAAACCAAUCCGUUGAGGGUGCAACAUGGGAAGCUGAGGCGGAUAUGAGAUCCAAGUACCCGCACCUAUUUUCCAUAAGCUCCGAUCAAGCCGAAGGUACCAUUCUACUCACUAACCUUUCUACUUGAAUCUUACAACCCAACUGGUUCUACCCUCUAUCAUCUCCCCCUUAAAUUAGUGUUGUCUUUCUAAGUUAUUGGAUAUUCUCAAUAAACUCUAAACUAAGCCACCUCGUCCUACUCUAAGGGUAGGGGCACCUCUCUAUAUAUGUGGAUACUAAGCACUCUCUGAAACUGUAAUGCCCUGCACUUUCCAAAGCUAGAAAACGAACCGUUGUUCGUUUAUGUGAAAAUCCCAAUUUUGUAAGCCAUAUUUGGGCACCUAAAUUACCAAGAGUACCCUAUUUAUAAGAUAGAUUAUGAGUCACUUAAGGUAGUACAAGCUAAGAGUUUCGAAAUCCAUCAAGUUUUAGUGUUUGAAUUCACAAGGGUCAUCUUUGAAUGAGCAUAACUUGAUAAAUAUGUGGUAUUUCUGCAUAUUUCUACCCACAAAAUUAUAUAGAAUCGAAUUAGCUUUCCAACAAUACCAAUUUCACCAAAAUCCUACACCCGAGCUAGGAGUUAUGGCUUUGCGAAGUAGAGUGCGUCGCCUAACCAAUCGCACAUGGCCACUGGAAAGCAUAUGCGAUAGCAUAUGGGGCGCCUAUGUAAAUGUAGGCGAUAUCAUAUGCGACGCCUAUGUAAAUAUAUGCGAUAUCAUAUGCGGCACAUAUCUUAUGAUUUCAAAUGACUUAAACACUCUGUUUUUGGGUUAUUUUGAGGGCAAUUAAGUCUUUUGGCACUCCUUACACAACCCUAAACUGAACCAUACGAAUUUAAUAGAUUCUAAACACAUCAUAACCCUAUCAUCAGUCUAAGUUCAUCAUCCAAGAGUAGUAAAGGAUAAAAACAACUAGGGUUACACAAUUAACAUUAAGGGUCCAAUCUUUCAAAUAAUCCAUUACCAUAAAGGUAUGUGGGGUUAUGAACAAGAAUAUCCUUUCGUUCUUGUGCCCAAAGUUUGCAUUAUUUUACAAAGACACAUGAUUUUUACAUGUUUUAUCAUAAAUUUGAAGUGAUAAAUCUUAUCCUAUGUUGUUGUUCAAGAUACUAUGAUUAUUUUGAAUGUUUAGAAAAUAAACUCCAUGAGUUUGAGAUUAUUGUUAUGAUUAAAGGCUGAAAUUUUUCAGAUUUCCGUAUAAAUUAUGCAUGCUUGUGAUAUAAAGCAUAAAUGUUGAAAUGUUUUGAUUAAGUAUCGCUAUAAGGGUCAUUAACCCACAUUGAGAUUGUUGUUUUGAGAAUUUAUAUGCUACAUGCACCCAUGUUUAGACUAUUUUGAUGAAGUAUAGAAAGAUUUGACCUUUUGGUGACAACAGAGUUAAAAUCCACUUUAUGAAACGAGUUACGGAUUUUAUCAUUUAUUUUACUUAAGAGAUAUGAGAUUGACCUUAAAGUGGAUUUUUCUUGAGAUUUUUGAGCAUAAUAUUAGGAGUAGUAUUUAGCACUGAGUUGGGUAUGUUAGUACGGUUUCAUACCCCAGAACUACGUGCCACCAUAGGUUGAGACAUUAACUUCCACUAUACGUGGAAAAUUGAGUUAGUGAUCAUUGAGAUGAGAUUGUUCUACACCGAUGGCAAGGGUAGGACAACCCUAACCUUAUGGGGAAAAGUCGUGGGACAUCAUGGGUGCUGACAUGGUGUUCAUGUCGGUUAGAAGAACCUCCCAAAGAGUCGUCUCUCAUUCUUAGAUUGAUUUUACUGAUUUAAAAGAUAUUUGGAAUGCAGAUUUAUGAUGUAUUCAAUAUUCCAGAUUUCACUAAGAUUGCUUGAUGAGAGAAUAAGAAAAGAAUCUUGAUAAUUGGAUUAAGUGUAAUGGCUCAUGAUAUCCAGAUUGGAUGUUUUACCAUUCAUUGUGUAUGAUUUCAGAUUUUAGAUUUCUUUCAAGCCUUGUGAGCCAUUUACAAAUGUCCUACGUGAUUUGGAAAGAAAACUUAUGACAUGAUCGUUAAAUACAUAUAUAUAUAUAUAUGCAUAUAAAUAUGUUUAUUUCAUGCACGCCCAUGUACUAGGUACUUAUUCCAUGGUACUGACCCACAUGUUCACAUGUGGGCUACAUUUUCCCUAUAAUGUAGGUUUAGGUGCUCAUUCCCAGGUUUGACUGUGACUAUCUGAGCAGGUUGAUCUAUAUCCUCUGUAAUGGUGAGUCCUCAUGGUCCGAUGACUAGUAAUUCAGAUUUCCUCAUUUACUUGAUUCGUUCAGUUUUUUUCCUGAGUUUGGGUCAGUUGGGGUUUGUCCCAAUGGCUCAUGGAUAUACAAUUUAGCAGAGGCUUGUCAGAUUAGAUGGAUAGAUUGAUCAGAUUUAUCAGAGAUGUCAUAUUUUGUUACUUUUCGUAUUUCAUUCGUAUUGCAGUAUGAUAUUAUGGAGGAUGUUUAGAUUUUUUGAUUAUGAUGAUUUUCAUUAUAAGUUUUGAAUGGUAGAAAAACGGCUAAAAAGGGUUAGCUUGGGGCUACUUGUAGCCUUAAGCACCGUGUGAUGCCUCGAGGCCUGUUUUUGGGGCGUUAUAAGUUGGAAGGGUAUCAGUAUCAUGCCACGGGUACUAACACUGGUUGUGUGGAUCCACUAAUAUGUUGUCCCAAAAGACUAGGGUGUUAAGCCUAAACUAACUGGUGACCUCUGAAAGAAAGUCAAGCCUAAAUUGAUGGGUGACCUCUUAUAUCCUACGCUGACUGCGCAGUUUUAGAAUAUAGGGACUACCACUAAUACCUCUUUCUAAAUUUAUGGUAGAGCCACUAUCCCUUCACUCGAUCAGUGCUAAAUCCUACUCCCAACUGAACUAAUACUGACACUUAUACUGAACUGAAUUAAACUCAACUGAAUAUUACUUUUCGAUAGCUCUCAUCAUGAUCAUGCAUGUCGAAGUAUAAUGAUAAGAUUUAUGGAUUAACUGAGUUAUUACCUGAAACUGUAAAAUUAUGUAAAUACAUUGGUAUCAGGUAUUCACAACCCGCCAGCACUGACUGAUAAUAAAAAUAUGAUAUAAAUAUUUAUAACUUUAAUAUGGAAGUCAUAAUUAAAAGACACAAAGCAUAAAAAUUUCACCCAAUAAGUGAGAGGCAUAAAAUUUAACAUGGGAAUGUCUUAAACAUGAGAAAAUAACAUGAUUACAUGGCUAGAUUCAUAAUUCGGGGAGUUAACUUGAAAUCAAUGGACUAUGACAUAAAAGCUUGUAAUUCAAAACAUGAGAUAGCGUUAUUCACUUGGAAACACUUGUAGACAUAGCUUGGAAAGGAUUUAACAAGAGAUUCAUGGAUUAAUUUUACAAAGUAGGAUAAUAUUAAUACUCUUAAGUAAAAAUAGAGUUUUUGGGAUCACUGGGUGAAAGAACCCUUUGUGAAUACCCCACAUACCUUAGUAGCUAGUUUCUUGAGGAUUUCUUGAGGGUUUCUUGAACUUAGAAGUUUGAACUCUUGAUUUAUUGAGAAAGAGCUUGGGUUUUGUUCUUAGAAAAGGAGGAGAGUUUCUUGAGAGCAAAUUUUGAGUGAAAGAGGCAAAUAAUACCCUUUUGAAAGUCCCAAAUUGUAUUAUAGACGACUUGGGUUGAGGGAAAAGACCAAUUUCCCCUUGAUCCCAAUGACCAAGGAUCCAGGGCACAACACUUAUGUGUCGCGACCCCAGUAUGGCGGAGCUAGCCCUACACUGCCACACUCAGUCCAGUGGAGCAAGCCCCAUGCCGUAACCCUCAGUCCAGUGGAGUAGGCCUCGCGCCGCAGGCUUAUCGCGAGGGUACACUAUCUAUGUUAUCUAAACAUAUUUGAAACCCCAUCCAAAAAUCCCAAAACUCUUUUGAGACAUACUUUUAAUAGCUUUAAACAUGAAUCAACUCAAAAACUAAUGUCUCAUGGUUGGGAAGGUAAAAAUAAGAAUCCGUGAAGUUUAGGGGUCUUCAAAAUGACUAAGUCCUUAACACUUAGUGGAAAUUUCCAUCCUUGAACCCCUUAUGGAUGGAAAUACAACUGAAUCAAUCUUAGGAUUUUAUGGGUAUUACAAUAUUCUCCUUUGGGAACAUUCAUCCUCGAAUAAGAUUGGUUAGACUUAGAAUACUAAGGUAACUAGGGUUAUGUACUAAACAUGCAUGACUUGGAAUAUGAUCACAUAACUGAGUUUGAAGCCUAAUACAUGAACUGAACUAAUUUCAUGGAUGCAUACAAUGGCAUGAGAAUAGUUACAUAGCUGAAAUAGAGAAUAAAAAAUAGUCAAUCUAAGGAAAAUCAUUACCUCAAGAUGAACUUGAGUUUGCAGAGAAAAUAUGAGGUACUUGGUGUUAGCCUCCUUAAGUAAUCUUUUAAUAAUGACAAGCUAAAGGAUGAAUCUUUGUAGGAUAAAGGAUACAAAUACUGGAAGAUUGCUGAUGGUCAAAGAAUAAAGGAUCACGACAAUAUCUUAUAGAAUGAAUAAAGGAUACAAAUACUGGAAGAUUACUGAUGGUCAAAGAAUAAAGGAUAACGACAAUAUCUUACAACAUGGAAAGAAAAUCAAAUCAAACAUCAUGAAAAUAAAAGGGGAAUCAUCAUUCCAGAAAUCACGACAGAUGAGAUAAAGUAGAAUGUCAAUCAGGAUCUAAACCAAAGGAAGGAAGACCACAACAAUCAAGACUAAAAUGAAAGAUAGAUCACAGACAUAUCUGAUAUAAACAUAAUCCUAAGCUGUAUAUCAAUAUAUCUGCUAUGGAUAUAUCAAAUGGAUAGAUUUCUCAAUAAAGGAAUCAAUUUUAAUCCUUGAUUGAGAAGAAAUCUCUUGGGUUUUCUUGUGAAGAGUGGCAUCCGAAGACUAUAAGUAAUGAAGACUGAAUAUAGAAACAUAUUAUUCAACUUCAAGUAAAAAUUUAAAGUUUCUCAAUCUUAGUCUCAUAAGGUUUUGUAACUUUAGUUUACAAUUAUUAUAUAAGGAAUAGGAUCGAGUAAACUUUGUAACAUCAAUUGAAACUUUGUCACAAGAUCUGAAGAGAAAAUAUGUCUUCACAACUUGUCUCCUAUCAUUGCACUCGAGCCAAACUUUGAAUGAUCUAAGAAAACUUUAAAACCCAAGGGGACUAGACGUAGGCACUGCAUUGGUGUGCCGAACUAGGAUAAAUCUUUAUUUUAUUACUUUACUUUUUGUUACUUUAUUUCUUAAUGUUUUGUAUUUAAUCUAUUUGUUAAGUGUUCUGAUCUGCAUGUGAGUUAACUGUGAAAGGUCAGUAGUCGACUCAUAGAUGAAAAUUUCAAUUCAACCCCCUCUUGAAUUUUAAUUGGUAUCAUAUCAGGUCUAACAGAUAGCAUUACUUAACCAAAGGUGAGCAAAGAUCAAAUGGCCAAUUAUCAUAUUCGCGGUUCUUUCCUUCAGGAUGGUCAUUCCUCCAUAAGAUCAUCGUACUUUAACUGACAAUAUUCCUCUUACUUGAAGAAUAGGUUCAGGAUCUUUGUCCAAUCAAAUGACUUCCAGGACUGGGUUGUCAUUAAGAAAGGUCCAAAGAUGAUUCAAGACUCAAGGAGAAGUCAAAGGACAAGGAUAAAGAAUCUAGCAGUUCUAAAAUUGAGGACCUUGAAAGCUUUAAGGUCACCAAGGAACAAAAAGAGGCAAUUCAAACUAACUCAUGUACUGUAGGUUUGUUUUUGUGUGCAGUUAGCAGAAAAGAUUAUGACAAGAUUUUAAUAUGUGAAACAAUAAAAUACAUAUGAGAUAAACUGGAAGUAACCUAUAAAGUAACUAGCAAUGUCAAGAAGUCAAAAAUUAUUACUCUUGGCAAUUAAUACGAAUUGUUCCAAAUAGAAGAUAAUGAGGAUAUUGAGACAAUGUUUGACAAAUCCAGCAAAAUCACGUGCGAGCUAAAAUCAUUAGGGAUGAUCUAUCCUCACAAACUGUAAGUCCAGAAGCUUGUUCAAAGUCUUCCAAAGACUUAGGAAACCAAGGCUUCCAUUCUAGAAGACGAAGAUCUCCGUAACAUGACAUAUGAUGAACUGCGAGGUAACCUAAUCACAUAUAAGAAAAAUUAUAUCAAAAGGUUUCAGAAAGAUAAAAAAGAAACCAGUAGCCUUCAAUGCUAAAAUAUCCUAGGUUUUGACCCUUAGAAAAUUUCCUAGAAAUCCGUACUCUAAACCCCAUACGCUCAUGGGUAUAAGCCGUAAGCUGGGUUAUGAGUAGUAUGGUCCUGUUGUAUCUUGACUAGUGUUAGUUGUUGGAAUUUUUUUAGAUACUGGAAUGGGUGUGACUUAAGGGUAUAAUUUAUAGGGCUUGGUAUGAGUCAUAUCAAGGACUCGUAUGGUAAAUAAUGUUUGAUCCUUCUAGUAUUUUAUCCAGCUAGGGAUACAAUCAUAGGUACAGAUUGUAAGAUGUAGUUACAACUUGGUUGGAUGAGUCAUAUACUAGAUAGUGUUUGAUCCAAGGGUUGAGGAUUGGAUAUGAGUAGUGGAUACCAAUCAUAUAAAAGGGUACGACUCGUAUGGGUCAGUUGUAUCCCUGUGAUAGGUUUUUAAGUGAUUUAAGUAGGGUAAUUUUGGAUAUUUCCCUACUUGCCUAAUUAUGACCCACAACUUCUAAAAUACUUAGGAAGUUAUUUACCCUAUUAUUCUUUUCAUUAAAACUUAGAAACUAUUCCAAAACAUUGCGUAAUUCUCUCGAGAGCUUUUAGGGAGAGAAGGUUAGGGUUUCAUCUUAUAGAUUGCUUUGGGGCUUGCUUUGGUGAUUUAUUUCUAUCCAUUCUUUGGUAUAAUACAUGAUUCUCUUCCCUCAUUGUAAUUUCAAUUAAAGGCAUGGUUUAUAUGAUUUAUUUCAUGGUUUUACUAUUUCAUAAUUAUGGUUUUCAAUUAUUAUUUAGGGGGUUUUGAUAUUAAAUGUUUGGUUAUGGUUUCUUAUGGUUUUAGUUAUGCUUUUAUAUGAAUUAAUGAUGGUUUUGGACAAUUAGAUUGCAUGGUAAUGCUUUAAUGGUCUUUGAAAUUGGUUUUGAUUGUAUUAUGCCCCCAAGGUGUUUGAUUAAAUGCUUAUAAAGAUAUGUUUAUUGGAUUGACUUCUUUUAUUGGAACUUUUAUAUGUGUUAAACUGGAUAAAGGAUUUAUACAUGGUUUAAAUGGUUUGAAAAAGGCUAUAGGCUAAAUGGUUAAGCUUGUGGGAAGAUGGUCCUAUCCCAAGUAGAUUAAAUAUUAAAAUUAGAAGGGCACCUAAGGUCCCCUAUCCUAAAUAGUUUGGAUAUGGACACUACUUGCAAAUUAUGGGGAGGUAUGAUGAUACCACGAAUAUUGUCCUUUGUUAAUAAAUUAAAAAUAUAUUAUUUGGACAUGGUUUUAAUUUGGCAUUAAUGGUGGAGAAUAUAGCUAAGUCGUGGAAGGUAGUGGUCCCAAGGGGACCAAUAUCGAAAACUCAUAUUUGCCGAUAUGAAGGGGCUUUGAUGACCAUGUGCGAGUGCCAUGUUUUAUAUUGGGGGGAAUGUACUAGUAUUCUCUUGGGAUAUUCCCCGAUCAUGCAGCUACAUGUACUAGGCCCUUUCAGCAGGGGGAACUGAACCCAUAUGACCCGUAGGUUGUUAGGACAAUAAAGCAACACAACCCAGGUAAGGGUUUAAUACAUGCUAAACCCGAUUCCCUUUCCCAUCACUUAUAUAUGUAUAGUUUUAUGCAUUAUGGAUGGUUCCAUUUAUUUUAUGACUGGCAUUAUUUUAUUUUUAUCCUGAAUUUCAUGCUAGCGGUCAUUUGCUAACCUCAUCUACUGGUGGUUGUAUACCCUAGCUAUGUAGGAAACAACCAUUUUACUUCUCCUAUUUAGCAUGUGGAUUUGGUAUCAACAUUUUGACUGAAGUGGUGAGCUUUAUAUUUUUAGAAGGCAUCAUUUCAUGUUAUGAAUUUAUUUAGAUACUUUUAUUUUACUUUGGAUAUUAUUUUGGCCAUAAUUGGGGGCAUGUCAUAACUGAAUUCAUUUAUUCUUUUAGAUAGAGGUUUUGUGGUACUUCUGGGGUUAGUAUGGGCGGGAUUGGUAUUGAUGACGGCCUUGGAAUUGGAAUAGUCCAGUGGGCUGACAUCAUUGGAUGAUAUUGUUAGUUGUUCCAUCCUACUAUAUUUUGGGAUUGAUUUUUAUAUUAGGUUUUGGUAUUUUAUUUUGGUUUAUGGUUUAUCAUUUGGUGUGGUAUGGUUGGAAGGUUGCUACGAUACAGUUGGAAUCGAUUGAGUUGGUCACGGUUAUGACCAUAUCCCAGAGUCUCAAUGAAAAUAAUAACGCUAUUUUACUAUAUGUUUAAUAUUCAGCUCAUCUAAGGUGGGAUAUGAGUGGUUUGGUUGGGUGACAGAGGGCGUUCCAUGAUCUUGUUGGAUUUGGAAUGCCCAUUAAGACAAGGCGCAGGGUCGGGUCAUGUCAAGUUGGUAUUAGAGCCUAGGUUCUUAGUCAAUUGGGAAAUCCAUAAAGCCUUGUUGAGUCAAUUGAGUUCUCAAUCCUGAAAUCUCAUCUAAUUAUUGUUUGUUGGUUUUUUAGAUCAUGCCUCCUAGAUCUGGAACAUAAGGAAAUUCUUCCAUCCCAUAUGGGGAUAAUACUAAAGUGGUACGUUCUACGUCUGGAAUAUAUCUUUGAUCUCAUGGUCCUAUUCCUAAUAGUACUAGAGUUCCUCCUAUUCCAAAUAGUUCUCCUUACGUCUGUUAGGGCAGCAUGACAAAUACAGAAUUUUGUCAGUCUAUUCAUGUUAUUGCCCAAUUAGUUGUUGCUCAGGCUGAGCAGGGUACAACUGGUUCUUUGUCUACUGAGGUCAUAAGGGUUUGUCAAUUUAUGAAGAUGGUUCCUCCAACUUUUACUGGGGUGAAAGUGGAGGAGAAUUCCGCAAGGCUUCUUGGAUGAGAUGGAAAAGAUCUUUUGGCUGAUGCAGGCUACUAAUAUAGAGGGGGUUAACUUUUCUUGUUAUCCACUCAAGGAUGUUACUUAUUAGUGGUAUGAGGAGUAGGACAUAGAUAGAGGUGAAAUGGAUGAGGAUGGAUUGUGGGAGGCAUUUUCUAAUGCCUUCAUAGAUCAAUUCUUUCCACAAGAGUUGAGGGAAGCAAAGAUGGAGAAGUGUGUGAACCUCAAGCAUGAGAGGAUGUUUGUAAGGAAAUAUGUUUUGAAGUUCCAUCAGCUAUCAAGGUAUGCUCCUAAUUUGGUGGCUGAUAUGAGGUCAAAAAUAAGGAAGUAUGCUUCUAGGUUGAAUAAAGAUUUGAUUCUGGAGAGCAAUACUACCUUGCUGAUUAAAGAUAUGGACAUCUUGAGUUUGACUGUACAUACAUAAUAGGUUAAGGAUGAAAAGAAAAAGUAGGUAGAGUUUGGGGAUAGAAAAGGAAAGAGGAGUAGGUUUUCUGAUCAGGGAGUAGGGAUGGUGGCAAGGGGAAAAAGUGGGGGCAUUCGGGCUCCUUUUCUGCUAGUUCUCCUUAUUAGUCGGGAGAUUGGCGUAAUCAAGGUAGUGAUAAUUCUCAGGCACAGGUUUCCUAAUCUCAGGCUAGAGAAGGUCAGUUAGUUUAUUCGAACAUCUUUGUUAAUUCUGUGGUCAUCCUCAUUGGGGUUAUUAUGAUGAAAGAAGGGACAAGUGCUUUAAAUAUAGCUAAGUAGGCCAUCGACUCAGGGAUUGUCUGAUUAAUAAGGUUGUUACAGGGGAGAAUAAGAUUAAUGUGGCUUCAUUUUCUUCUCCUACACCUUAUGGAGUGGAAUCUUCUUAUAUUACUUCUCCUAGUUUAAGUGUUUAUCAGAACAAGUUACAUGCUUUGGCAUCCCAAUAGGAAUCCUAGGCAUUACCUGAUGUUGUUACUGGUAUAUUAUAACUUUUCUAUCGUGAUGUAUAUUGUUUACUUGAUUUAAGGUCCACUCUUUUUGUAUGACUUCAUAUAUGGAUGUGUCUUUAGGUUUUGAUCCAAAAGUUAUCUCAGAUCUUUUUUUUUCUACCCUGGUAGGUGACUCAAUUAUUGCUAUGAGAGUCUAUAGGGGGUAUAUGGUAUUUGUUGGUAGCAAACAGACCUUGACGGAUCUAUUUUAGUUGGAUAUGGUAGAUUUUGAUGUAAUUCCUAGUAUGGAUCGGUUACAUUCUUCUUAUGCGUUUAUAGAUUGUCAGACCCAUAGAGUUAUCUUUAAGUUUCCUGGUGAACUAGUUAAAAAAUGGGAAGGUAGUUCCUUAGCUCCUGGGGGAGUUUUAUUUCUUAUCUUAGAGAUCGAAGGUUAAUCUGUAAGGGUUGUCUUUAUCACUUGGUCUGCGUUAAAGAUCUAACUCGGAAGGUCCUUCUUUGUCUUCGAUCCCUGUGGUUAAUGAGUUUCUAGAGGUCUUUUCGGAUGAUCUUCCUGGCGUUCCUCCAUAUAGGGAAAUAAAAUUUGGUAUUGAUUUUUUUUUGGACACUCAUCCAAUUUUUAUUUCUGUAUAUAAAAUGUCUCUGGCUAAUUUAAGAAAACAUAAGGAGUAACUUAAAGAUCUUUUGGAUAGGGUGUUUUUUCAUCCUAGUAUUUCUCCAUGGGGUGAACCAGUGUUGUUAGUGCACAAAAAGAAUGGUUCCCUUUGGGUGUUCAUUGACUACAGAAAGUUGAACAAGGUGAUGAUCAAUAACAAGUAUCCUCCUCCAUGGAUAGAUGACUUGGUUGACCAGUUACAUGGUGCUAAGUUUUUCUCUUCGAUAGAUCUUUGUUCUGAGUACCACCAACUUAAGAUUAGGGGAUGGAUAUCCCUAAGAUGACUUUUUAUACUCGGUAUGGGCAUCUUGAGUUCUUGGUGAUGUUAUUUGGAUUGACUAAUGCUCUGACAGUAUUUAUAGACUUGAUGAACAACGUGUUUAGGCAAUAUUUGGAUCUCUUCAUCAUUGUGUUUAUUAGUGACAUUCUAGUUUAUUUGAUGAGUGAGGUGGAUCAUGCUAAUUACUUCUAUGUGGUUUUACAGACCUUAAAGGAACAAUAACUGUAUGCUAAGUUCUCUAAGUGUGAGUUCUGGUUGAACGCAGUUACUUUUUUGGGCCAUAUUAUUUCUAUUGAAAGGAUCAUGGUGGAUUCACAGAAGGUUGCUGUGGUGAAGAGGUGACCUAGGCCCACGAAUCCAUCCAAUAUUCAAAGCUUCUUGGGUUUAGCCAGGAAUUAUAGGUGGUUUGUGGAAAUCUUUUCUUUGAUAAAUGCUCCUUUGACUAAGUUGACUCAGAAGAAGGUUAAGUUCUCUUGGUCAGAUGUUUGUGAAAGAAAUUUAACUAACGUGGAUGAAGGAAAGCGGGAAUUUGUGAAGGAUAUUCACUGCUUGGCUAAUCUUGGAGUUCGUCUCUUGGACUCUAAGGAUAAUGGUGUGAUGGUACAAAAAGUAGUUCGAUCGUCUCUUGGUGUAGAGAUUAAAGAGAAGCAAGUGCUGGAUCUUGUCUUGAUAAAAAUCAAGAAUGAUGUAGGUGAGUAGAAGGUAGUGGUGUUUGAGAUCAAUGGUAAUGGUACUUUAUAGUACGAAGGGGUGUUCCUGAUGUCGAUAAGCUGCGGUUAAGGGUUUUGGAUAAGGUGCAUGAGUUCUGCUAUGCUGUUCAUCUUUGGCUCGAUUAAGAUGUAUCAUGAUAUCAAAGAGAUCUAUUGGUGGAAUGGCAUAAAGAGGGAUGUGGCUAAUUUUGUGUCCAAGUAUAUGGUGUGUCAACAGGUUAAGAUUGAGCGCAUGAGACCUGAAGGGUUAUAUAAAGAAAUUGAUUUGCCCGAGUAUAAGUGGGAAGUGAUCAAAAUGGACUUGAUUAUCGGUCUUUCUUAGUUUUAGAAUUAGUAUGAUUCGAUUUAGGUCAUUGUGGAUAAGAUGACCAAGUCUGUAUAUUUCUUGACAGUGCGGACUACCUUUCUGGUAAAGGAUGUGCGGUUGUAUCUUUAGGAUAUUGUGAUGCUUCAUGGGGUACCUAUUUUAAUUAUCUCUAAUUGUGGUAUCUAGUUUACGUCUUAUUUUUGCCAAUCUUUCUAGAAAGGGUUGGGGACUAAGGUUAGUCUGAGUACUACUUUUCAUACGUAGUUGGAUGGGCAAGUGGAGAGAACUAUUUAGACACUGGAGGAUAUGCUUCGAUCCUGCGUGAUUACCUAUAAUGUUAAUUGGGUUGAGCAUCUACCUUUAGUAGACUUUACUUACAAAAAUAACUAUCAGUCGAGUAUUAGUAUGUCUCCUUUCGAGGUGUUGUAUGGUAGGAGGUGUAGAUCUCAUAUUGGGUGGUUUGAGUAUGGAAAAACAGACAUGUUUUUUUUCUGGAUUUGGUUUAUAGGGUGAUGGAGAAUUUAAAGGUGAUUUGGGAUAGGCUAAAAGCUUCCCAAAGUCACCAUAAGUCCUAUAUAGAUAUUAGACAUAGAGACUUGGAAUUUGAGUUCAGAGAUAGGGUGUUCCUUAAGGUGUAUCCCAUGAAAGGAGUGGUUCAAUUUGGUAAAAAAGGGAAACUCAAUCCUCGGUUCAUUGGUCCUUAUGUGAUUUUGCAAAAGUUGGCAAUGUGUCUUAUGAGUUGGAUUUGCCAUCUAUCUUAAGUUUAGUCCAUCUGGUCUUUCAUGUUUCUAGGUUGAGGAAGUGUCUUGGUGAUACUUCUUCGAUUAUUCCUUUGGAAGGAUUAGGUAUUCUAAAUUCUCUGUCUUGUGAAGAGGUCUCAAUUGAGAUAUUAGAUAGGCAAGUUCGUCUGUUGUGGACCAAGGAUGUGGCUUCAGUUAAGGUUCAAUGGCAGAACCAUAAGGUGGAACAAGCUACUUGGGAAGCGGAAGAGGAAAUUAAGUCUAAGUACCCAUAUUUAUGUUCUGUUCCUGGGAUUCAUGCGAAAGGUAUGUGUCUUGAACACAUCUUUAUUUUCUGAGCUUUUUAAAGGAAAGAUUAACACCUUCGCCUCUUUGUUUUCAAACUUUGUUAAAGGGAUGUUUGAUAAUGAAAAUAACUCUGUGUGUGGUUACCCUACCUUAUCCAUCAUUCGAGGAUGAAUGUUCCUAGUGGGGGAGACUGAAAUUUCCUAGGUUUUGACCCUUAAAAAAUUUCCUGGAAAUCCAUUCUUCAGAACCAAUAUGAUUCAUGGGUACGAGCCAUAAGCUGGGGUACGAGUGGUAUGAUCAUGUCGUAUACUGACUAGUGUUAGUUGGUGGGAUGAUUUUGGACAUUGGAAUGGGUACGACUUAAGGGUAUGAGUCGUAGGGCUUGGUACGAGUCGUAUCAAGGAAUCUUAUGGUGGGUAGUGUUUGAUCCUCCUGGUAUUUCAUUCUGCCAGAGAUAUGGGUCAUGGGUUCGGAUUGUAAUGAGUCGUAUACUGGACGGUUUUUGAUCCAAGGUUUGAGGCUUGAAUACUAGUAGUGGAUACCUAUCGUAUAAGUGGGUACGACUCAUAUGGGUUAGUGGUAUCCCUGUGAUAGGUUUUUAAGGGAUUUAAGUUGGGGUAUUCUGUACAGUUCCUUACUUUCCCUACUUACCCUAAUUAGGAACCACGACUGCUAAAACACUUAGGAAGUUAUUUACCCUAUUAUUCUUUUCAUUAACACUUAGAAACUAUUCCAAAACAUCUCAUAAUUCUUUCAAGAAAUUUUGGAGAGAGAAGGUUAGGGUUUCAUCUUAUAGAUUGCUUUAGGUCUUGCUUUAGUGAUUUCUUUCCAUCAAUUCUUUGGUAUAAUGCAUGAUUCUCUUCCCUCAUUGUAAUUUCAACUAAAGACAUGAUUUAUAUGAUUUAUUUCAUGGUUUUACUAUUUCAUGAUUAUAGUUUUCAACUAUUAUUUGGGGGUUUUGAUAUUAAAUGCUUGGUUAUGGUUUCCUAUGGUUUUAGUUACGCUUUUACAUGCAUUAAUGAUGGUUUUGGACAAUGAGAUUGCAUGGUAAUGGUUUAAUGGUCUUUGGAAUUGGUUUUGGUUCUAUUAUGCCCCCAAGGUGUUUGAUGAAAUUCUUAUAAAGAUAUGUUCAUUGCAUUGACUUCUUUUAUUGGAACUCUUUCAUGUUUUCAACUAGUUAAAGGAUUUAUACAUGGUUUAAAUGGUUUGAAAAAGGCAAGAGUCUAAAUGGUUAAGCUUGUGUGGAAUAUUGACGUCCCCCAAGUGGAUUUAAUAUGGAAAUUUGAAGGCCACCUAAGGCCCCCCAACCUAAAUGGUUUAGCUAUGGAUAAUACUUGCAAUUAAUGGGGUGGUAUGAUGAUACUACUAAUAUUGUCCUUGGUUAAUAUAUGGAAAAUGAAUUUUUUUGAUAUGGUUUUAAUUGAGUAAUAACGGCAGAGAGUGUAGCUAAGCUGUGGAAGGUGGCGGUCCCAGGGGGACCAAAACCAAAAACUCUUAUUUGCUGAUAUAAAGGGUCUUCGAUGACCACGUGUGAGUGUCACGAUUUAUAUUAGAGGGAUGUACUAGUCAUCACAUGGGAUAUUCCCUGGUCGUGCAACUAUACACACUGAGGCCCUUUCAGCAAGGGGAUCUGAACCCACAUGGCCUAUGGGUGGUUAGGACAUCAAAGUUACACAACCCAAGUAAAGGUUUUAAAUGUAUGCUAAACCUGAUUCCAUUUCCUGGCACUUAUAUAUGUAUGGUUGUAUGCAUUAUGGAUGGUUCCACUUGGUUUUAUAACUGGCAUUAUUUUAUCCUUAUCUUGAGUUUCAUGCUAGCGGUUAUUCGUACACCCUAUCUGCUGGCGGUUGUAUACCCACGCUAUGUAGUAACGACCAUUUUACUCCUCCUGUUUAGAACAUGGAUUCAGUAUCAAAAUUUGGACUGAAGUGGUGAGAUUCUAUCCUUUUGGAAGGCAUCAUUUUAUAUUAUAGAUUUGUUUAGACACUUUUCUUUUACUUUGGAUAUUGGUUUUGGCCAUGGUUGGGGGCGUGUCCCAACUGGAUUUGUUUAUUCUUUUGGAUAGAGGCUUUAUGGUACUUCUGGGGGAUCGGUAUAUGUGUUAGCCUUGUCAUUUGAAUAGGCAGGUGGGAUGACAUCAUUGGACAAUAUUAUUGGUUGCUCCAUCCUACUACAUUUUGAGAUUGAUUUUCAUUUUGUGGUUUGGUAUUCACUUUUGGUUUAUGGUUUAUGGUUUUGUUUGGUAUGGUUGGGUGAUUGUUGUAGUAUGGUUGGAAUCGAUUGGGUCGGUCGCAGUUAUGACCCUUUCCUAGAGUCUCGAUGAGAAUAAUAAUGUUAUCUUUUUAUAUGUUAUAAAUUCAGCUUAUCUAAGGUAGGAUAUAGGUGGUUGGGUUGGGUAACAAGGGGCGGUCCCCGAUCCUGGUUGGAUUUGGGAUACCCACGAUAAGGCCCGAGGCGGGUUGUGUCAAAUGCUGCUCCAACCAGAGGGAGGACAUUUUGGAUAAUGCUAAUAGCGAAGGAAUGUCCCUUAUCAACCGAGUGUUAAAGAACAUCAUGAGACAAAGACAACAAAUAUCCUAAGGAGGCAAAAACAAUGACUCCACAAGAAACGAUGAUCUCUGUUACUAUUGUGGAAGGCCUUGAAACUUCAAACAAAACUGUCAAGAAUUGAGAUGAAGAUCAUCUAGAACAAAUCAAAAUUUCGGAGCCUAGAACGAUGAAGACGAAACUGAAGAAGAAAUAAAGGUUGCCAAUAUAUGCUUAUGGCAACUGGUGAAUCCAGCGAGGUAAGACUACACAAUUAUUGUAACUUUAAUACUCUCAAAUCUAACUUAGAUAUGAUUACUAAUGAACUUCAAAAAUUUAUAGAUGAGUAUAACAAACUUGGCCAAGAGAAAAAUGUUGCGAAGCUCAAUUUAAACAAAAACUCGAAGAGGAACAACGAAACUAACAAAUAGAAAUUGAAGCAUUUCAAUUGAAAUUGACCUACUUCAUUAAGAGCUUGAUAGUACAAAAAUAAAAUUAAAAAUUUUAAGGCAUCCCCAAUACAUAGUUUCAUAAGAUCGAACUCUUUUAAGAAGCAUUCGAGUUUCUCACCAGGAUUGUUUAAAUUAGCUAAAAACUAUUUCUCCUUUCUAGGGCCUAUUUAUUUCAUUUGUGGAUAGAGAGGGCACAAAUCCUAUAGUUGUAGGCAUAAGCCUAAAAGUGUAUUGGUUUGAAAUGCCAAAGGAAGUACAUAUAACCCAUAAGGACCCAAUACCGUUUGGUUACCUAAGAAAAAUCAAUCUUUUUAUUUUGCAGGAGCAUAUCCUCAAAGCUAUAAAAGGGAGGGAUUGAUAGAGGAUGUUCCAAAAGUAUAGCUAGAAAGAAAAAGGUCUCAUCUAUUUGUACAGAAUAUAGACAAAAAUCUAUCAGUUUCAGUGACAAUGCCGGAUGCAAUGUCACCAGAGUCGACUAUGCCCCUUUCAGAGUCGACACUUGAAAUAGAAAUAAAGGCAGAGGUCACUGACAUCAUUAAAAUCCUUGACGAGGUCACAGUUAAAUAUGAAUUGUCCUUAUCUGUUGAUACUCUCAAAUGUUUUAAGAUGCCUUAAUUUUUAAGAGAUUUUCGUGAAACAAUCUCCAAAAUUUGAAAAUCUGUUUUAAAACCUUCUUAAAAGGGAGGCAAAUUAUUUUAUGUUUUAAAAAAUUUAUAUAUUUUCUAUAUGUUUUAACAUUACUUGUGAUAAUUCUAACAUUUCCUUAUGAGAAUUUUUACCAUUCUGAUGAAAGUUUCGUCUCAUGAGUAAUGUCCUAAAUUCAUGGCUUAGCAAGGAACAAACGUUGGUUGACUCUUCAACAAUUGGAGUAGUAGGCACAUCUCCUGGAAGCUACUGUACUUAAAUUCUCUGAAUUUUGGGUCAACUACUUGAUGUUAAUUUAUCUCUUGAGAUUAUUCCCAGAACGUGUGAUAAUGCUGUACUGAUAAUCUAUUUAAUUGUUCUGUGUUAGAAUGAAGUGAUUUAUGUCCAUGAUCUUGAAGAAAAUUAGAUCUUAUCAAAAAUCUUGAUUUCAUAGAAAAAGAUUUGGUGUUAAUUAUUUAUGAGUUAUAUUUUUGGACACAAAUUAUUUUACUUAGUCCAAUUUUAUUUUAUCAGAAGAAAGAUCUUCAAAAAGAUUUAGCAUUAAUGACUUAUGAGUAAUCUUUGGUCAUAAAAUUUUACUUAGUCCAAUCUUACCAAUUUUACCAAAAAUUUUAUAUAUUUAUUGUGAAGGAUUUUAUUUGGAGAAAAUAUCGGUGCUGUAUUUUUUUAUACACUAAAGGAUUUCUAAACUUUUUUUGGCACAAAAACCACCAACUCUUCUUACCCUCAUCAUCCUUUUCUUUCAAAUCCUCCCCCUCAUAUGACACUAUUUUCUCUCCCUUCAUCAUUGCCUUCUCUACCCAUUUCUCUUCCCAGCACUCCUCUACUAUUUCAUCUUUAACCCUAACCCUUGGCUCUCAUCUUUUAAUCUAUCUCUUCCCCUUCUCUUUUCUCUUAUUUUUAUGCUCAUUUAUCCCCAUCUUCCCUACUAUGACUAAAACCCAUUCAAUUUCUAAUCCAUCUCCUUCAAAAGCAUCCCCUAAUCAAAAGUCCUCAAACCUUGACUAUGUCCUUCUCUCGGAGUUCUCUGAAGAAUCUUCCUCUUACUCUAUCCAGUCAACUAUGUCCAAGAAAUAUACCACUUCUAGUCUCAUGUCGUUCUCUAACAAAAGGAUAUCCUCUCCCCUGGAAUCUCUUCCUCUGGAGGACAUUCAUAAGUUCUAGAAUCUUACGCACAAUGAGAAGUUUCUCACCUUCAAGAAUCACCCUAUUAUUUUUGGACGAGUCAUUAAACUCUCCCCUCGAAAGGAAUCCCACUGCAAUAUUGGUCACAUUCUCAAAGAUCAAGACCUGUCGAUCAUGCUUUACCUAUGUGGCCUGGAAGUUUUUGAAAAUCCUAUCUGUAUGUUUUUCUCCAAUCUUCUCCUUUCCCCUGACAGGAGGAACUAGAAACACUGGUUCUUGGUACUCGUAUUGUUCUAAAUGACUUCUUAUUUAAGAAAGUAUUUAACACCAAAUUCUCUGGCAUUGUCUCUUUUAUGAAUUAUACCUGGCCUGAGAAUUUUAAAGUCAGCUUUAAUGAAGUAAAGAAGUCUGUCUCAGAUGCUGACACAAACAACUCCGCUUUUGGUCCUCUGUACCCCAGUCUCUAUAAUAGGAUUUUGGCUCAUAUCAAGGAAACCACAUUGAUUCCUCAAAAAAGAUAUCUCAGUAAUAUGACUUGUAGAGAUGUAUCUGUUCUCUACUGCCUGAUCAAAAAGUACAAGAUCAACUGGAGUGCUUGGAUUCAUGAAUAUAUGGUAGAAAGUGCAGCUGACUCCCAUACCUCAGCAAGUCUACCCUAUGGUUUGAUUAUCACUCAGAUUCUUAUCUACUAUGGAAUUGACCUGUCAUCCUAUCUAUUGGUAGAAGUCUCUGCAACCUAUGAUUCAAAGACCUUUGCAAACAUGGGUUAUGUUCUGAUUGAAAAAAUAAUGGUGUAAAAAGGAGUCUAUGAAGAGCCGACCUGAUAGGUCCAGGGUAAGUAAACCUGUGCCUACAUCCAUGUCCUAUGCAUACAAGGAGGAUGAAGAAAUCAAUAACAGGCUCACUGCUAUCGAGAAAGGAAUUUCCAGCAUCAAAGAGUUGACUGCCAAGCUGCUGGAGAAGGUCAAAGAGGUAGGUACCAACAUUGACAAAGUGCCACUCUUCCUUGACGACUUCAAAUAGAAAGGAGUGAGAUUGUUUAACAGGAUGUUUUACCAAAUUGAGUUCAUCAAGUCAUAAUUCUCUUCCUUCUCAAAUUAGCUUGUCAUCUCAGUUUAGAACUCUGACUCUAACUUUACCAUAAAGCCUCCAGUUCUUGCACCACCCAUAUCUGAAAAACCAUUGAUGCUCUAUAUCAAGGCACAAGAAAGGUCAUUUGGAGCACUUUAGCUUAAGAAAAUAGUGAAGGCAAAGAAAACUUUGUUUUACUAUCUAAGCAGAAUGAUGACACCAAAUGAUCUGAAUGAUUCUCCAAUCGAAAUGUUUUUUUGGCAUUGACCUUCUUAAUUCAAAAAAUGAAACAUUCAAGCUCAUGUUGUUCAUUUUGUGUCUAGGGAAAUUACUUUCAAGCUCAUAUCGUUCAUCUUAUGUAUAGGAAAAAUUCCAUCAACUUUGUAAUAUCGUAACCAGUCCUUAGUGACUGACUUGCAAGGUGGUACCAUCAAUUCUAAUAGUUUGAAAUUGGAUACAUAUCCGAAACGGCUGCAAAGGGACAAGUAUUGGAAUACUUUAUUGAAGAAUGUCAUCUCCAAAUCCAAACAAGAUUUGCAUGAACAAAUGGAAGAAGGUUUGUGGCAUAUAACAUGACUUACCAUACACCAAUGCAAACGACACCAUACUCCCUUGCUUUUGGAGUUGAAGUAGUUCUACCACUCAAGCGUUAAAUAUAUUCUUUAAGAUUGGUUGUUCAAGAAGGGCUCAUCAAAGAAGAUAUUCCUUAGUUGCAUCUUUUGGAGUUGGAAGAUCUUGAUGAGAAGAGGUUAGAGGCUUAAAAAAAUCUUAAAUGAUACCAAGAUUGUCUUUCUCAUUUAUAAUACCCCAAACAUUCGUUAAGCUUAUUUCUGGCUCUAUAAGGUUAAGGAAUGACUUCCUAAGUGAUUAAUGUUUAAAGCAUAUAGAAUUUUCCUAAUUUUGAUAUUUUAUAAUAUGGGAAAUUAAUGAGCUUUCCUUCUAUAUAAUAUUCUUCAAAAAUAGACACUCGGAGAAGAAGUUAGAGCAUUUUUAGUACUCAAGAUUCCAGUUAGACAAGUUGUCGCAUCGCGAUGAAGAUCAAUUUCACAAUUGUCAAUUUAUAGAGACUCACCGUGAUUACAAUGUAUCAUGGUGAGUAUAGUGAGGAGAGGGUUGGCGCAUCAUGGCAAAGAUUAAAUCCACAUUUUUCACUUUCCAAUUGGUCAUCGCGAUUUCCCCACGCCGUGAUGAACCCCAAAUUGGCAUUUUCCAAAAAAAGUAGCCCAUUGCAAUUGGACCGCAUUGUGAUGGGUAUAGCGAUGGACCCAUUGCUGCGAUGUGGUGAAGACUGAAACAGCUUACCUGGUAUAAUUUUAAAAAUCGUAAGGGCAAUCUUGUCUUUUACCAAGCUCUCAAGUCGUAGAAAUUGAGGAUUAAGGUCAUUUUUGAGAAACUUAUGCUCAUUUUUCAUGAUUUCUCACAAACUAAAAACCCUAAGUAUCCAAAUCCUCUUCCAAGAAUCUCAAGAAUUCACCAUAGUUUUGCUAAAUUAAGUAGAGAUUCAAAGCCCCCAAGUCAAAGGCUUUAAGAACCCUACCUCAGGAGUACAAAAAGGAGUCUCAAGCAAGCUAAUUCAUCAAAGUUCAUAAUUUGAGGUAUGUGGGGUUUGAACAAGAACACUCCUUCCGUUCUUGUGCCCAAAGUUUUGGUUUUCUUAAAAGCUUUUGAUAUUUUCAAGAUGAAUUAUGCCUAAAUUGCUAUAUUUCAAGUAUAUGCGAUUAUGGAUUUAAUCAAGUCUUGAAUUAUAUGAUACUUCAAUCAUUUUAUGAUUUGAAUUGAGAAUUAAUGUUAUGAAUUGCAUAGUUCUUACAUGAUUGAUGUUUGGAAUACUCUUAAGGUUGAAGUCAUGAUUUACCCUCUAUUUUGAAUUGAGAUUUCUUUAAUAUGUAUACAUGUUUUAAGGUCCAAGAAUGAAUUUUGAGAUAUUCUAUAGUAUUUCAAGAAUGUUAUUGAUAUCUCUAUAUCAUUGAAGUUUCAAAGCGUAUUAAAGACAGUCCACCAAAGUUUAAAGAAAAGAGUUGAUUUUGAUCCUAAGUUAAGAAAGGAAUCCACAUCUUGUGAUUUAAGCUAAAAGGAAUCAUAUUGGCUCCCAUUUCAUAUUGUUGAAUUGUAUAAGGUAGAUUUUGCUAAAAGUUUUAAGCCUAGUAUAGGAGUAGUAAUUAGCACCGAGUUGGUCUUGAUUCUGAGGUCUCAUGCCUCAGAACUACAAGCCACUGUAGGAUUUAAUUUACCCGAAGUGGGUUAAGCUAGUGAUCACUAAAAGUAAAGGUUCUACUCCGAUGGAAAGGAUAAAACUGCUCUCCCCAAUGUGGGUAAGACGUUGGACUCCAUAUGUCUCACAUGAUUUAUGUCGGUUAGAAGAAACUCCCAAAGUAGUCCCUACUCUAUUAAGAUAAAAGUACAUGUAUUUUGAAAGCUCUGAUUCUAAGAUUUCUAAGGUUCUCAAGUGCUAUAAUCUGUAAGUUUCAAAGAAUCUCUUUGUUUUCAUAAGAUUAAAGUGUAUUUUCUGAAGGUUAUUUUUUAAGACUUUAUCUAGUUUGCAAGCUUGAGUAUAAAGAAAGAGUACAAAUUUAGACUAAAGUGAAAUGACCACGUGAUUUAUGUUGUAUGUUUUCUAUUCAUGAUUUAUGAAAAUUUUACUCAAGCUAUUUAAGUAACCUAUUAUAGCAUGCAUGUUUCUAUAAGGACUUAUGAUAUGGAUUUUUUAAUUGCAUAUACCCCCAUAUGCUCAGUACAUUCCCAAAAUACUAAUCCAUAUACUUGUGUGUGUGCUACAUUUCCUUAUAAUGUAGGUUCAGGUACUCAGUCUGAGCCUCAUCAGUGAUCUCGAGUACCUUUAUCUGCAUCUCCGCAGUGAUAAGUCCUCAUGAUUUGAGGACCUAUUUUCAGGCACUUCAGUACUUAUAGUAGUUGACUUAUGUACUUUCAUUUUAGUAUGAGUCAUUUGGGGAUCUGUGUUAAUGGCUCUCUAGUUAAUUGAGUAAUAGAGGCUUUGUCAUACUUGUUUACCAAGUUAUUAGUAUGUUGAGAUUUUCAAGUACUGUGGUUGUUCGGACAAAGUAUCUUCCUUCCUAUUUGUUAUGAUUAUGAUAUGACGGUACCAGUAUUUGUUUUAUUCAUCUUUAGGUAAGCUUUAGAUGUAGUAGAAGGCUCAAAGGGUUGUCUUGGGUCUACUUGUAGCCUUAAGCACUGUGUGACGUCUUGGGACCUAUUUUUGGGACGUUACAAACUUGGUAUCAUAGCCUAAUGUUUAAGGAGUCCUAGGGAGUUUGACAAGCUAUGUUAAGUAGAGUCUUGAUCAUUGGUGUGUAUCACACCACAUAUAUUAGCAAGCGGCUACAAAACAUUUUAGGAAAAAAUCAUCUCUUUCUUUCAAAGUUUGUCAUGCUUAUAGUUGACCCUCUAUCUGCAAUUAAUUUGUGCUCUCUUAUGACAGUGUGAAAAUGCCUCCUCGAUGAGCCUGCAGAAACAACAAUGUGCAACCUUCACCUACUGGUCCUUUGAAUGAGACUGUGUCUCAUGCUCAGUUUUGAGCUGUCAUUAAGGCAUUAGAUCAGGAAGUACUGCGAAUGUCUAGGCCAAUAACCAGGCUACAACUUUAUAGCAGCAGGGAGGUGAUUUAGCCAUUUCUAAGAUUCGUGAUUUCAUUCGGAUGAAUAUGCCAGAGUUUCAUGGGUCUAAGGCAGGUGAAGACCCAUAGUUAUAUCUUUAGGAGGUGAGGAAGAUCACACAGGUGAUGCAUGUUUUUGAGGUGGAAAGUGUUGAGUUGGCAUCUCACAGGUUGAAAGACAUUUCUUAUGACUGGGUUGUAGUAUGGAGGAAGAAUAGAGGGGGAUAUAAUGUCCCUAUUACAUGGCAGGGGUUCCAAGAUGCAUUGUUUUACAAGUUCUUUACAUUGGAGAAUGAGAGAAGAAAAGAUUAAGGAGUUUAUGAAGUUAAGGCAGGGCUCCAUGACUAUUAAAGAUUACUACUUGAAGUUUAACCAGUUAGCCAAAUAUACUCCUGAUUUGAUUUCUGACACCCAAGCUAGUAUGAGCAAGUUUGUGAUGGGUGUGUCUAGUUUGGUACUGAAAGAGUGUUGGACCACUAUGCUCAACAGGGAUAUGGAUCUUGCUAGGUUGAUAAUACAUGCAUAAAAAAUAGAGGAAGAUAAAAUAAGGGAGAGAGACAGGGUAAGAGUUAACAAGAGGGCUAGGUUGGAGUAGUAUGAUCAUAGUUAGACUAGGUCCCAUGGAGGGAACCUUCCAUAGUUCCAAAGCCGUUCAUCCAUCAAGUGCCUUUAUCCACUAGUGCUCCCACACGCAUAGGCACGCAGGAGUAAGGUAAUAGGCCUGCUGUUUCUAGAUCCCAGAAUAGUGUAGGUAACAUGCCUAAUUCUCCUCCUUGUACUAAGUAUGAAAGGACCCAUCCUGGUGAGUGUUUUGCAGAAUAGAAAGGUUGUUUUGGUUGUGAAAAGAUGGGCCAAAAGCUUAGAGAGUACCCACAUGCCCGACAGGGGAACCGUGAUAUUCGCCCCCAGACUCAGACUACUAGUGCCCCAGCUCACGUAGCUCAUCUAGCCUCUCCUCAGGGUGCUUCUUCUAGCACUGCUGUCGGACAAUGCUAGAACAAAUUCUAUGCCCUACCUUCCCGCCAGGAGCAGGAGGAUUCUCCCGAUGUGGUUACUGGUAUUCUCUAUGUACUUCACCUUGAUAUUUAUCUGUUGUUGGACCAUGGGUCAAGUUUCUCCUUUGUGAUCCCAUUAAUUGCUAUAAACUUUGAGAUGAGUCUUGAAAAUAUUCUUGAGGCUUUCCUAGUUUCUACUCCAGUAGGGGAGACAAUUGUUGCUAAGCAAGUGUAUAAAAAUUAUCCUAUUGCUUUUCUUCAUAGGUUUAUACUUGUUGAUCUGAUAGAGUUAGAUAUGGGGGAUUUUGAUGUUAUUCUGGGUAUGGACUAGCUUCACUCUUGUUAUGCAUCUAUAGACUGUCGUACCCAUGUAGUUAAGUUUUAGUUUCUUGAUGAACCAUUUUUGAGUGGUCUGGGAGUUCAGUAUCUCCCAAGAGUCAUUUCAUCUCUUAUCUCAAAGCCAGAAAUAUUAUAUCUAAAGGUUGCAUCUAUCACCUAGUUAGAGUUAAAGACACCAAGCCUGAGGCUCCAACUAUUCGGUCAGUCAACAUUGUUAAGGAGUUUCCUGAUAUUUUUCUGGAAGAUAUCCCAGGGGUAACUCCCAAUAGAGAGAUAGAAUUCGGGAUUGACCUUCUUCCCGACACUCAGCCUAUUUCAAUUCCUCCCUACCGUAUGGAACCCACAGAGCUUAGUUGAAAGAUCAACUCAAAGACCUCUUAGAUAAAGGUUUCAUAAGGCCUAUUAUUUCUCCUUGGGGCAUACCUGUUGUAUUCAUGCAGAAGAAUGAUGGUUCUUUGUGUAUGUCAAUUGGUAAUCACCAACUUAAUAAGGUCACAAUAAAAAAUAAGUACCCUCUUACGAGAAUAGAUGACCUAUUUGACCAAUUACAAGGUGCAAGUUACUUCUCAAAGAUAGACCUUCGAUCUGGCUAUCAUCAACUUAAAGUAAGAGAGUGUGAUAUCCCAAAGACAACCUUCCAAACCCGUAAGGUCACUUUGUAUUUCUUUUCAUGUCUUUUGGGCUAACCAAUCCUCCAGCAGCUUUUAUGGACCUCAUGAAUUGAAUUUUCAAACAACAUCUUGAUAUGUUGGUAAUAUGUUCAUCGAUGAUAUCCUUUUAUAUUCUCAAAGUGAGGGUGACCAUGUAGAUCAUCUUAGAAUUAUCUUGCAAAAUUUAGCAAGUGUGAGUUUUGGAUAAGGUUCGUAGCUUUUUUGGGUCAUAUUAUUUCAGCUAAAGGCAUUAGAGUUGAUCCUUAAAAGAUAAAAGUUGUAAGAAAUUGGCCUAGACCUAUAUCUCCAUAUGACAUUAGGAGUUUCUUGGGUUUUAGCUGGCUAUCACCGCCAUUUUGUUGAAGGUUUCUCUUCUUUUGCAUCUCCUAUGACCCGGUUGACCCAAAAGAAGGUUAAGUUCCUUUGGUCAGAUUCAUGUGAGAAGAGUUUUAAAGAGUUGAAAACUCAACUCACUUUAGUCCCUAUGUUGACUUUGUUUGAUGGUUUUGUGGUGUAUUGUGAUGCCUUUAAAGUUGACUUGGGUUUUGUGCUGAAGCAGAAUGGUAAAGUUAUAGCCUAUGUCGCUAGAUAGUUAAAACCUCAUGAGAAGAAUUACCCAACCCCUGAUCUGGAAUUAGCUAUUGUAGUGUUUGCUUUGAAAAUUUGGAGAUAUUAUCUUUAUGGUGUUCAUAUGGAUAUGUUCACUAAUCACAAAAUCCUAAAGUACAUAUUUUCUCAGAGAGAGUUAAAUCUUAGGUAGAGAACAUAGUUAGAACUGCUAAAAGACUAUGAUAUGAGUGUGUUGUUUCAUCUGGGCAAGGCCAAUGUGAUGGCAGAUGCCUUUAGCAGAUUUUUUAUGAGUAGUGUUUCGCAUGUGGAGGAAGGUAAGAAAAAGUUAGCUCAUGAUAUGCAUCGUUUGGCUAAGCUGAGUGUUAGAUUACUUGAUUUCCUUGAGGGGAGAUGGUGUGUUGAGAUUGCAAGGUAGAUUGUGUGUUCCUUGUGUUGAUGAUUUGAGGUAGAGAAUUAUGGCUGAAGUGCAUGGUGCGCAAUAUUCUAUUCAUCUCGGUUCUACCAAGAUGUACCGCAACUUGUGGGAAAUCUAUUGGUGGAGUGGCAUAAAAAAGGAUAUAGCUGAGUUUGUAGCUAAGUGUGUGACAUGCCAACAUGUUAAGGUUGAACAUCAAAGACCUGGUGGUGUGAUGCAAGAGUUUGGUAUAUCCACUUGGAAGUGGGAGGAGGUGAAUAUGGAUUUUAUGACUAGUUUACCUCUUUCACGUCAUCAUCAGGAUUUGAUUUGGGUUGUUGUAGACAGGUUGACUAAGUCAGUACAUUUCCUGCCCAUGCAUACAACUUAUUUAGCAGAGGACAAUACUAGAUUGUAUAUUCAAGAGUAAGUCAGUUUGCAUGGAGUUCCCUUUUCAUCAUCUUGGAUAGGGGUACUCAAUUCGCUUUGCAGUUUUAGAGAGAUUUCCAGAGAGGUCUUGGUACCCCAAGUUCAUUUGAGUUUUGAUUUUUAUCCCCAGACAGAUGGCCAGGCUGAGAGAACCAUUCAGACAUUGGAAGAUCUAUUGAGGGCCUGUGUUCUUGAUUUCUAAGGUAGUUAGGAUAAGAAUUUUCUACUGAUUGAGUUUGUGUAUAACAAUAGUUAUCACUCUAGCAUCCAAAUGGAACCAUUUGAGGCUUUGUAUGGUAGAAGAUGUAGAUCACCCAUAGGUUGGUUAAAAGUGGGUGAAGCUAUUUUGACUGGACCUGUUGCAAUAUUUGAGUCCAUAGCGAAGGUCAAGUUGAUUAAAGAGAGAUUAAAGACAGAACAGAGUUGUCAAAAGUCAUAUGCCGAUAUGAGAAGAAGAGACCUUGAGUUUGAAAUUAAUGAUAUGGUGUAUCUGAAAAUUUUACCCAUGAACAUAGUGAAAAGGUUUGGAAAGAAGGGGAAGCUUAGUCCCCAUUAUGUUGGUCCGUACAGAGUUCUUAACUAUUUUAGGAAAGUAGCUUAUAAAGUUGAGUUACCUGUAGAGUUAUUAGUUGUUCAUCUGCUCUUUCAUGUCUCCAUGCUUAAGAACUAUAUUGGUGAUUCCAUUGUUAUAGAUCCUUUGAAAAGCCCUGAUGUUCGGGACAGUCUUUUAUUUGAUGAAGUUCCAAUUGAAAUCCUAGAUUACCAAGUCCGGAGACUAAGGAACAAAGAAGUUCCCUUGGUCAAAGUGUUGUGGAGAAAUCAGUUAGUUGAGGGCGCAACUUGGGAAGAAGAAGUAGAUAUGCGAGCCAAGUACCCGCACCUCUUCUUCGCAAGUUCAGGUCAAGCCGAAGGUACUAUUCUUCCUUAAUUCAGUCCUUUUUAAAUAAAAGAUUAAGCUAUAUUGCUAUUCUUAUUAUGAAUUAUGCAUUUUCCAAAGUACUCGAGAGUUUAGAAAGAUAUAGAUUUAAUUUAUCCAUUUGUUUCAGCUGUGCACCCUCAGUUUUCUCUAUAUUCUUAGCCUAGCGAGCAACAUUCGAGGACGAAUGUUCCCAAGAGGGAGAUAUUGUAAUACCUUGAACUUUCAUUAGGCUUAUUUAUGGCUCUAUAAGGUUAAGAAAUGACUUCCUAAGUGAGUAAUGUUUAAAGCAUAUAGAAUUUAACUAAUUUCAACUUUUUAUCAUGUGGAAAAUUGAAUGAGAUUUUCUUCGAUAUAAGAUUUGUCCAAAACAAACACUCGGACAAGAAGUUAGAGCAUUUUUAGUACUCAAGAUUCCAAUUAGACAAGCCAUCAUAUCAAGAUGGAGAUCAAUUUUGCAAUUGUCAAUUUCUAGAGACUCACCACGAUUACACCAUGUUGUAGUGAGUAUAACAAUGAGAGGUUUGGUGCAUCGUGGUGAAGAUUAAAUCCAUGUUUGUCACUUUCCAGUGGGUCAUUGUGAUUUCCCCACAUUGCGAUGAACCCCAAAUCAGCAUUUGUCAAAAACAGUAGCCCAUCGCAAUUGGACCGCAUUGCGAUGGGUAUAGUGAUGGACCCAUUUCCGCGAUGCGAUGAAGACUGAAAUGGCGUACCUGGUACAAUUUUAAAAAUCCUAAGGGCAAUCUUGUCUUUCACCAAGCCCUCAAGUCGUAGAAACUGAGGAUAAAGGUCGUUUUUGAGCAACUUAUGCUCAUUUUUCAUGAUUUAUCUCAAACUAAAAACCCUAAACAUCGAAAUCCUCUUCAAAGAAUCUCAAGAAUUCACCAUAGUUUUGCUAAAUUGAGUCAAGAUUAAAAGCCCCCAAAUCAAAGGCUUCAAGAACCCUCCCUGAAGAGUACGAAAAGUAGUUUCAAGCAAGCUUAUUAACCAAAGUUCAUAAUUCGAGGUAUGUGGGGUUUGAACAAGAACACUCCUUCCGUUCUUGUGCCCAAAGUUUUGUAUUUCUUAAAAGAUUUUAAUGUUUUCAAGAUGAAUUAUGCCUAAAUUGCUAUCUUGCAAGUAUAUGAGAUUAUGGAUUUGUUCAAGUUUUGAAUUAUAUGAUAGUUCACUUAUUUUAUGAUUUGAAUUAAGAAUUAAAGUUAUGAAUUGCAUAUUCCUUCCAUGAUUGAUGUUUGGAAUACUCUUAAGGUUGAAGUCAUGAUUUACCCUCUAUUUUGAAUUGAGAUUUCUUUAAUAUGUAUACAUGUUUAAGGUCUAAGAAUGAAUUUUUAGAUAUUCUAUAGUAUUUCAAGAAUGGUAUUGAUAUCUCCAUAUCAUUGAAGUUUCAAAGCUUGUUAAAGAUAGUCUAUCAAAGUUUAAAGAAAAGAGUGGAUUUUGAUCCUAAAUUAAGAAAGGAAUUAACAUAUUGUGAUUUAAAUUAAAGGGAGCCAUAUUGGCUACCAUUUCAUAUUGUUGAAUUGUAUAAGGUGGAUUUUCCAAAAAGUUCUGAGCCUAGUAUAGGAGUAGUACUCAGCACCGAGUUGAUCUUGAUUCUGAGGUCUCAUGCCCCAGAACUACGAGCCCCAUUGGAUUUGAUUUACCCCUAGUGGGUUAAUCUAGUAAUCACUAAAAGUAAAGGUUCUACUCCGAUGGAAAGGAUAGAAUAACUCUCCCUAAUUUGGGCAAGACGUUGGACUCCAUGUGGCUAACAUGGUUUAUCUCAGUUAGAAGAAUCGUCCAAACUAGUCCCUACUCUAUUUCAGAUAAAAUUACAUGUAUUUUGAUAGCUAUAAUUCUAAGAUUUCUAAGGUUCUCAAGUGCUAUAAUCUGUAAGUUUCAAAGAAACUCCUUGUUUUCAUAAGAUUAAAGUGUAUGUUCUAAUGGUUGUUGUUUUAAGACUUUAUCUACUUCAUAAGUUUGAGUAUAAAGAAAGAGUACAGAUUUAGAAUAAAGUGAAAUGACUCAUAUGAUUUAUGUUGUAUGUUUUCUAUUCAAGAUUUAUGAUAAUUUUAUUCAAGCUCUGUGAGUCGCCUAUUAUAGCAUGCAUGUUUUCUAUAAAGACUUAUGAUAUGGCUUAUUUAAUUGUAUACACCCCCAUAUACUGAGUACAUUCCCAAGGUACUGAUUCACAUACUUGUCUGUAUGCUACAUUUUCUCAUAAUAUAGUUUCAGGUUCUCAGUCCCAGCCUCGUUAGUGAUCUUGAGUACCUUUAUCUGCAUCUCCACAGUGGUGAGUCCUCAUGGUUCGAGAACCUAUUUUCACGUACUUCAGUACUUAUAGUAGUUGACUUAUGUCCUUUUAUUUGAGUAUGAGUCAGUUGGGGAUCUGUCCCAAGGGCUCUCUAGUUAAUUGAGUAGUAGAGGCUUUGUCAAACUAGUUUACCAAUUUAUUAGUAUGUUGAGGUUUUCUAGCAUUGUGGGUGUUCGGAAAAAGUAUUUUCCUUUGUAUUUGUUAUGAUUAUGAUAUGACAGUACUAGUAAUUGUUUUAUUCAUCUUUAGGUAAUCUUUAGACGUAGUAGCAGGCUCAAAGGGUUAGCUUGGGGCUACUUUUAUCCAUAAGCACCGUAUGAUGUCUCGGGACCCAUUUCCCGGGCGUUACAUUGUUCUUGCAACAAAAGAAUUUUCUUAAGAUACUUUAUGUUGGACAUCAAGUCCUUGCAGUGAGGAGGCCCAUUAUUACUUCUCGUAUUAUUAGGGAAAUUUCACUUCAAAUUUGGAUGGACCAUAUGUCAUAUAAGAAGUAUAUUCAAACGGUUCUUACAAGCUUGUCGAUGUAGAUGGUGUGAAAAUUUGUCAUAUUAAUACCAAGUUCUUGAAGAAAUACUUUCCUUAAAGAAAGACGAUUCUCCUUAAGGAAAGAGAAUAAAUUACAUGUCCACUCUUGGCCUGAAAGAGUAUAAACUGUGUAUGACUCAAAAAAAGUCCUCUAGGUUGAAAACAUCAAAACUGGUUUCCUAGGAAAAAAGUUAGUGCUCAAAAAAAGUCUGCUAGAUUGAAAACCUCGUAAGAGGUGACCUAGAAAAAAGUUAGGACACACAAAAAAGUAUAUUAAAAAAAGACUCACCUAGAAAUAUGUUGUGACUUGAUCCUCUUAAUUGAGGCGCUUACUCAUUGGAAUUUCAUUCUGAGUUCAGUUGUAUAAGUGUCAUAAGUACACAUUUUCCCUUGAUCCUCUAUGUGGAAGUUAAGUAUGCAAAUAUUUUUAUGACAUUUUGUACUUAUGACUAAUAUUUGUAGCUUAAUGGGGCAAUGUAUCAAAAAUAAGGGAAAUCGUUCAAUGGGAUUUGGAAUACCCAAAGCCUAUAGUUUGGGGUACUAGCCUGCCAAUCCUGUAAUUAUCAAGUUUGUAGGUGAAAAACUUCAAUUCUUAAGGCUUUCAAAUAGAAGUUUCAAUUCCCGCUUGAUUGUGAGACAACAACGUAAACCCUAUGAUCAACAAGUUUGAAGAGAAAGAUAGGAUUUAAUACCACAACAUCAACACAUCAAAAUAAGUAUUCAAUUCUUGAAGUUUAAGUCCAAAAGGAAUAUUGAAAGAAAUGUGCAAUAUAAAUAAAUUGGAGUUUCUAUGGUAAAUAAUAAAUCCAACUACUUAAUAAAAUGCUAAAAGAAAUAGAUAAGAAAGUUUGAAGGAAAUGAAACAUGUCCUAGGGCUAAUCUAAACAUAGUUUAUACUUAACUAAAUCUUGUAGAGUAACCUCUACGACUUACUUCUUCUUUUCUACAACAUUCGAGGCAUUUGCUGCAACCAAAGAGACAUUAUAACACUCGUAAAACUCUUCCUUAUCCACCCUUCCUUAACUUAUUCACCUUCAUUCUUGCCUUCUCAAGAGAUUUGUGGGUAGGAUAUACUUAUUUAGAUUUCUCAUCUCUCUCUCAACAAAAGCUCAAUAUUCUCUUUGGCUUUCAAAUAUGGCUUUGACUCUUUAAUAUUUGUGGCUUAAUAAACAAGGAUGAAGUCACAAGAUUAAAGAAAGACUCCAAUAUAUUAUGAUAAGGGAAAUAUCUGUACCCAUUCAAGUCGUGUCAUAGAGUAUGACUUCGACAUUAUCUUUGAUAUUAAAAGGAAUAAUUCAUAGUAAUCCUUAUGAGUUUGGUGUACAUACUAGCCCAUUCUUUUAUGAAAAAUUCUCUUUUAAGCUCUGAGAUAACCCCUUUUCUAUAUAAAAAAAGGGACAUGGUUACCAUUGGUCACUGGCGGAAGCCUGAUUCUGCAUUUUCCUUAAAUUUACCAUGAGGAUUAAAAGUGACCUCUUUGGAUGGAGCAAAUAACUCUCUUAAGUCCUGGCCUACUAGUAACUCACUACUGUCUUGUGGCUUACUUUGGAAAGGACCCACCAAAGUUUGGACAUUGUUUGGCAGCACACACAAAGAAAGCAUGAUAAGGGGGAUACAUAAAGGCAAUUUAUAUGCUUUGAAAUUGUAGGGAGUUAAGUCAUUAACUUUUUAAUGGUUUGAGAAGUCCUUGAUAAACUAUUAUCACUAUCAAGAAUCUCCACAUACAAUUCAGUAUAGCCUGGCCUAUCUAAAGAUGGUCUCAUCUUCUUCCAAUAAUGAUCUCCAUAACUGUUAUCAUUUUUAUCUUAAGAUGGUCGUUUAUUAAAAUCCUGGUGAGUCUGAGCGAGCGGCUCCACCUUUUGAGUUGUUGUAUAAAGAGGGACCUUGACUUUGUAUGGAAUGACUACGUUAGAUUACAAAAUAGGAGGCUUAACCAUAAUUAGGACCUUCUUGUUAUGUUCUUUAGGAGUAUCAGUAAGAGGAACUAUGAUAUUCAUCAAAGAUUACAAGUUAGCUUUAAGAAAUUUCCCAUAAACUUUGUCUCACUAAGAUCUAUACGCAGUUGAAAAGUAUUUUCACAUAUUAGAUGUGGCUUUAGGGAAAGUUGCUUUCCAUAUUGAGCCAUGCAAUACACAAAUUCGAUAAAAUUUAAGGUCUUCAUCUAGAAAAACACUACAAAUAUCACCUUCUAAGCUUUCAGGUAGGAUAUGGUAAAACCCAAAUUGACGGCUAAACCAAUGAGGAUGGUAUGGCUCAAUUAUGAAACAAUAUCUAUAUCUAGAAGGAAGGAAGUUCAAAUAGAGUCUCAUGAAGUAUCUUAUCUCUGACUCAGCAUUCUUAUCAUUAUCCACAAAAUAACAAAGAGUGGUAUUCUUGGCAGAGGGGAUUGUGCGAUCUCAGUAAGGAAUGUUGCAAGCACAACAAUUUCUUCUAAGUGCGAUCACCCUAGGAAUUAAAGGGGGAUGUGUAGCUAUACCAUGAAAAGUAGAGGUCCGAGGGGGACAAAAAUUAUUAACUUAUAUUUACCGAUAUGAGGUAUGGUCUUGGUGACCUAUGUGCAUGAUGUGACACCCAAUAUUGGGGGAUGUACUAGUUAUCCCAAUGGGAUAUCUUCGCUGGUCAUGAGCCUACACAUACUACGGCCCUUUGAACAGGGGGAUCUGAACCUAUAUUUCCUGUGGGUGUUUCAGAACGACAAAGCUACACAGCUAAAUAAAUGUUUUAAAUACAUGAUAAACCCGAUUCCCUUUUCCCGUCACUUAUAUAUGUGGAUGGUUGUAUGCAUUAUGGAUGAAUUUACUGGGUUUUAUAAAUUACGUUAUUUUAUCCUUAUCUUGAUUUCAUACUAGCGAUCACUUACUAGCACGUCUACUGGCGGCUAUAUACCCACGCUAUGCAGGAACCAACCGUUCUACUCCUCCCCAUAGUGAUUGAAUUGGGAGAAAACAUUUGUACUAAAGUGGUGAGCUUUCAUCCUUUUGGAAAGCUUCAUUUCAUGUUAUGAACAUCUUUAGACAUUUUUGUUUCAUUUUUGAUAUUGGUUUUGGCCAUGGUUGGGGGCAUGUCGCAACCAAAUAUUUUUAUUCUUUUUGAUAAAGGCUUUAUGGUACUUCUAGAUGUUGGUAUGGGCGGGAUCGGUAUUGGUGUUAUUCAUAGAAUUGGUAUUAGUGUUGGAGCUAAUACCAUUUGAUGGUAUUAUUGGUUGUUCCGUCAUCUUAUAUUUGGGAUUGAUUAUCAAUAUAAGUGUUGGAAUCUAUUUUGGUUAUGACCCUGCUUAUGGCUUUUGGUUUGGUUUGGUUUGGUAUAGUUGGAUGGGUUGGUUGGUACGGUCGGACUCGAUUGGGUUUAUCACGAUCAUGACCCUAUCCCAGAUUCUUCAUAAGAGAAUAUAUGCUAUCUUAUUAUAUGCUUGAAAUUCAUUCCUCAAAGGCUAGAUAAGGCGGUUGGGUUGGGUAACAGGGGGCGGUCCCUGGCCUUGUUUAGACUUGGGAUGUCCAUUACGUCUAUGCACUAGUCUGGAUCGUAACAUAUAUGCUUUAUCUUGGAGCUCAGUUGGAAGUUUCCUACUGAGUACCACAUGUUUGGUACUCACACUUCACUUGUUUACCCUGCAGAUCAUAGUACAGAUUAUUGUCGUUGAUGUAUGCAUCGUACGGAGCAGCCAUUUAUCGGAGACAUAGAGUGAGCUCCUGACAUUUGGUUUAUUACUUUCCUCCCUCUUAUGUACUAAACUAGUCUUUAUAUUAUAUUCAGAGACGAGUUAUGGCAGUGUAAUUCCUUUGAUAUUUUAUUUCUGUACUCUUAUUAUAUUAAAAUCUAUUGUAAUGAUACCACCAGGUUUUUGGACUAUAUUAUGUAUUUGAUAUUUUAUCAUAUCUUUUCCGCAUUCUUCUUUCAUCACGUAGGUAGUCCAUUACUAGCCGUUCAAGACUGCAGGUUUGGGUUGCCUACUGGUUGGUUUUAGUAGGUGUCAUCAUGACAUGAGAAAUUGGGUCAUGACAACAUGAUCUAAAAACCCAAUCCACUAAUAAAGAAUCACUCACAAGAGAAGAUACAAGCAAUAGCAUAGAUAAUAAAUUCCAAGAUAACUAUAACCGUGGAGCAUAAUAAGCAUACAUAUACGAAUAACUGGAUCAUAUUAAAUAAAUUAAGGGUUGAAUGAUGGCAUAUUAGAAUCAUACCUGCACUAAUAACAUCCAAAGACUUAACCUCGAGCUCAGCAUGUACUGCAUAUGACUUACCACACCUACCACUUGGCAGGGCUCCUGACCGAUAUCCUGUCCUGCCUUCUUGAGAACCUCCCCAAGUACCCUGGGAACCACUCCUAUGAUCAUGCAAACUACCUCAAGCUAAGGGAUGAACUUCUCUAAUUUGGGGAACACUUUGAGCUGAAACAACAAUAACCCCACAACUAGGGAUCUCUCAUACAUAAUGACCAAAAGAUCCACAACUAUAACAUGCCCCUGAGCUAAACUAAAACUAGACUAUCCGGCUGACAUAGACUAACCACUGCAACUAGAAUAAAAAAAUGAAUCCCUCAAAGAGUGACCACUACCUUGAUCAGGAAGAUAACUAGCACUAGACAGACUUUUAUUAGUAAUCUGGAGUGCUGCUUGAACAGGUAUACUUGGCAGACUCUGAGGCUGAUACUGCGGCUACAGAGAGUACCUAUCAUGAGAUCUACUACCUCUAAAUUAGGAAAUUCUAUAGCUCAUACUGAAACUGACCUGAUACCUAGGCCUCUUAUCACUACCCCUUUAGGCCUCGUAAUAUAUCUCCUCCAUCACCUGAGUGUGGUCUAACAACUAGAAAAAGACCUACCCGCAACAACCAGACUUUAGGUAGACAUGUGAAGGGGAAGCCUCAACCCUCUAACAAAAAAAUGAACCCUCUUAUACUCAGAAGUUAGAAUGGAAGUAGCAAGCCUAGCCAACUCAUGAAAAUGUUCCUCAUACUCCACAACAAAUAUGAAUCCCAACUCCAACCUCAAAAAUUGAUCUCUCAAAUGAUCCCUAAGAAAGUGAGGCAUGUACUUCCACAAUAAGAUCUCUAAGAACUGACUCUAUGUCAAAGAAGAAGUUCAAAUUAUCCUAGAAUCAAGAUGACCACUCUACCAAUGUUGAGCUACCAAGUCAAUUAGUCCAUACCACAAGUCUCAACUAGGCCUAAAUAAUGAAUCCUAUCCUUGCAAGCAAUCAAACACUCAUAAGCAUCCUCUCCCGAUACACCAGAAUACCUAUGUGGAUCCAAUCUUAAGAACCUACCCGACAGUUUCAUCUACUCAAUGGACAUAGCAUGCUGGACAACCAAUGGAUGAGAAACUACUAGCUGAGCAACCAUCAGUGCAGGAGGCAGCUUAACUCUAGGAGCCACAGCUAUAGGUUAUGACCCCACAUCUGUACCACUAUGAUCUAUAGAUGACACACAACCAACCAACCAAACCAUCUCUGGGCACUGAAGAAGAAAUAAAUCCUAGUGGAACUUGGGCUAGUUCGUGGCCCACUGCAAGUUGGGGUGCAAGAAUCCUUGGCUCAAGAAGAGGAAUAGGGUCUGCUGAUGAACGCUAUCCUUUUCACUAGAUGGGGACAUAUGUUGAGGUUUUCCAUGACCUUUGGGUCUUCCAAAAACAGCGACAGGAUCCAUAGGCUUGAUCUUAGGGCCCUCCUUUUAUGUAGUGCUAGCACAUGUCCUAGCUAUCUCUAAAAGAUUAAAGUAAUCAAAGUAAUAGAAAUGGCCUCAAAAGGAUAGUUGUAACAAAGAAAACCAUCCCACUAUUUGGUAGAACUAGUACAAGAGCUACUAUAGAUACAACACAAGUUCUAAAAUAGUUAAUCCUGUCUCAAAACUAAAGACUAGACAUGAAUAGAUAGAAGGAAAUAGGGAAAUUUUGACUAUGUGAGCUUAACCUAUCUUCGAAAUCAACCAUAAUAUGAUCUUUGAAUUAGUGACGAUAACUAUUUCUUAGAUCUGAACCAAAAAGGAAUAGAAGUGUAAUAUGAGUACCAAAAUCACAGGUACUCAGUAGGCAUCAUCGUCCGAUUUAGCAAAAUCAUGAUAUGUGUGAUGAAAUGCAACAUAACACGAAUAAGUCAUGGUAAGAAAGGAAAAUUGAAGUAACUCCAAAAUCACUAUACAUAAGUAACUAAAAUAACCAAAAUGAUAACAUAAAACACAUGCAAUUAUAACUAAAAGAUUUCCCCAAAAGCAAAUAAGUGCGGAUACAUAAAUAACCCAAUGUAGGAACCAAAAUCUUAGAUGGUACAAUAAAGGAAAGAGUAGCCCACCAACCUUCAUGUACAAAAUCCCAUGGUAAAACUAAAAUCUAUAUAUAUCAUUCCAUAUUACAAUAAUUACCACAUUCAAACUUGAACUAGUACCCUUAUCAUCAACAUUAUACUCUAUAUAAGGACUAUAACUGGUAUUUAUAUAGUAAAUAUCAUCAUAUAUAGCCAGACUCAAACCAAAAAAUAUAAAAUAAAUAGCCAAACUUGAAUCGAUAAAUAUAUAUUUGAUAGUCAGACUCAAACAGAUAAAUAUAUAAUCAAUGCCAUCAUCAACAUCCUAACUCAAACUGAUAAUCAUAUAUAAUCAUAUCAUAGUAAAUGACCAUACUUGAACCAACCAAAAUAUCAUUAAUAUUUUAAUCAGUAUUCAGAUUCAAACUAGUAAAUAUAUAUAAUCAACAACCAAACUCAAAUCGGCAAAUAUAUAAUCAAAAGCCGGACUCGAACCUAUAACUAUAUCAUAAAUAGUAUGAUCAAUAGCAUAAUGAAUAACAAUCAUCUCUCAAUAUUAACCCAUCAUAACCAACAAGUACCAAAUCUUAUUAAUAUUACCUCAAUAAGCAUUUUCAAGGUGUAUAACAGGUGUAUAAAGGUUUACAAGAACUACAGAAAUAUUAGCCUAAGGUGGGUCAAAGAGCUCACUUCUAAGGGUCAAAGAGCUCACUUCUAAGUCCCUAACAUCCAUUACAAGGAAAAUUCUACCCUCGGAGUAGGAUAAGGUAUCUAAAUCCACUUUUAGAUGUUAACAAGAUUCAAUUAGACCUAAUAUAGAAAUUUACCUAAAGCAUGACCAACAAGAUCAAUUAUGCCUAAGUUAGGAUUUUCAAAUAGGCCAAGCGGUCCAACUAAAUUAAGCAUUGCCAAUAACAUCACUAACACCCAAAACCCACUCCAAAUCUAACACAAUAUCAUAAAUUUACUAUGAAAUAUAUCAAUCUAUGUAUAAGGGAAAACCCAGCCUACCUAGAUGCUGAAGAAAGCUCAAAGAAUUUGCUAAAUCACUAAUUUCCCUUUCUGAGAAGCUUUCGUAAGGUGCAACGCUAUCAAAAUAAAAAAUAUACUCAUCAAAAUGAUUAAAAGAAUACCUUUAUUGAACUAUUGUGCUUUGAGAUCAAAAUUACACAAAAAUUUCAUUGGGCACCAUUUACGAAAAUUGCAUUUUAGAAGCCAAUUCAACCUUCCCCUGUGCUCAAGGAGUAUUUGUCCUAAAAAUGGGUGAAAUUUAAGAUAAUUUGGUUCUAAAAUAAAUUAUCCAUGUUUUUGGGAUCUUAGGAGAAAAAUCAACCAUAGAAAAGGGUGAAAUCCUACCACAAAUUCGAAGAAGAUUCAUGAAAUAGUCGCUACCCAAGCUUCCAAAAUUACCCACUAGAUCUAAUCCUAAGCUUUCCCAAUAUUUAGGGUUUAUCUAUAUUGUGAAUGGGUGAGAAAUGGAAAAAAAUAGGUAGACUAGGGUAUUUAUACCAUUCCCAUAUAUACAGGAGUCACGUUUGCAAUCUGCUAAAAUAUAUUCGUGAUAUUCGGAUAAAGCGACCAAAGUUACAUUCCCAACAUAGCCAUCGUAUUUGGGUACUAGCAACACUAGUAGGAAUGUUGCUUUUGUCACAAGGAAUGCGAUGUUCAUGAUUCUAGCUGGAGCUACUAUAUUGUUAUUGCAAUCAAGAGCUCAAGAUCUCUGGUGUACCAAUACCAGCUGAGAUUUGGAAAUUUCCAAGUCUCUAUCAACCCCUUGGGAUUCAUCAAAAACACAUGAAAACAAACUUUGUUACCCUAUAAAUUUUGACAUUUUAGACUCAAUGGCACAACCGAAGUUUCCUUCCAUAGUUGAUUUGAUAAACAGUAGAUCCUGCAUCCAACUUUUAUUUUCUUAACUCUUUCACCAAUAGCUCGAAAUAGGCUCGGGUGCCUCGGAACCUAAACCAAGAGUCCACCUAGCCUAAAAUCAAGAUUCUAGAGCUGUUAAAAUAGUCAAAUUUAGCAUACAAUAUCAUUUGACUGAGUUUUCAUUCAGUGGCCAUUUUAAACCAACAAAGACUUCAAAAUAGAAAAUUGGCUCUAAAAACUAAAUGAACUAUUGGUGAUCAAACUGCUAGUCCCAACAAGUCAAAAAUGACUUGGGGAAGCUAUAGAAAAGCUUUAAAACCAAAAAAAAAAAAGGAAACAUGAAAAAUACUUGAAGAGUCAUUAUAGAAAAAGAAGGAACAAAUACAUUAAUUCUAUAUUUCCUCAAGAACAUAAUAAUAUACCAUAAAUAGUUAUAAUGACCUAUGAUUAAGAAUUAUAGAUGAUGUUAGGGAUGGAAAAUGGGUGGGUUGGGUUAAAUUUAGGUUGAUGUUAUUGGUUCAAAAACCCACCAAUUGUUUGAUCAAUUAAAAAUGGCUUAGGUUCAUGUGGAUCAAACAAUAGCUAAUAACCCAACUUGCCCCAUCUUAUUAAAUAUAUUAUUGUUGUUAACAAUUGGAAACUCAUUAGUGUUUUGUGUUAUGAAACUGGGAGUAAUUAUUACUAUCUACCCAUAUUAUGCUUUAGUAAUUUAUCUAUGCUAAUUUUAUUCCAACAAAUAGGAUUAAUUGUGUCAUCUAAGCUUUGCAAUAAAAUCAUGCUACUUUAGUUAGGUUGAGAUUGCAUAAAUUAUGGAUACCAUGUAAUCUUUGCAAGAAAAUUGUGAUAAUUUAGUUAAGUUGAGAUUGCAUAAUUGAUGGAAUUGAUGAAAUAAAAAUUACUCUAGUCACCAAAAAUUUAUGCCUACAUCAUUGACCACUAGGUCAAUAAGGUGGAUCGAUCAUACCACUAUAACGAACAUAGAUCAUGUAGAAAGUUUAUUUAAAUAAUUAAAAUUUAAACCACAUGAAUGAGAAGCUGGAAUCUACUAUCACUUCACUUAUUAUAAGAUACUACUUAAUAAUUAAUAAUCAUAAAAGAAAGUUUAUUACAAAACAUUGACGUCUCAUUCAUAUGGAUCAAUCAUUAAUUAUUUAUAACAAACAUUCUACUUGAUUUUCUGGCAGCUAAACAUCAUGUUUGUUGCUGAUUCAAAUACUUAGUGGAGCAACAGAAGCCCUUAGUUACUAAUGCUAUAGGCCCUCUGAAAUGUGAAUGCAUCUUAUAUACUGUCUACCGAUGCUGGAUAAACUAUAAUGACUUGAAUUCUUUAGUUAUUUUGUUUGUAUCAAACUGUAUAGUUUAUCUGAAUUCUUACAGAUUUCUAGUUUCUAGGGAUAUAAUAAAUUAGCGUACCUCCAUGCCUAAAAAUUGUGUUAUGUUACUUUAGUUAGUUCUCUUUCUUUCCUUUAUGGUUUGACUAUUUCUCUAUGCAAUAGAGGUAUGACCAAGCAACCUAAUUGGCCUAGUGGUCAUUAAUAGAGGUGCAAACUUUGGUGACUAGGGUAAUUUUAUUCUAUUAAUUUCAUCAUUUCUGCUAUCUCACUCUAACUUAAUUCACACAAAUAUUUUUUUAUGAUUUUAUAGAAGAGUCAAUCUGAUUUGUUAGAUUAAAAUCUCAUUGAUAUUGAUAUAUCAUCGAAUCAUAGACAUGGGUACACUCUCACGAAUGUUCCCAAUUUGAUAAACACAAAUCAUUAAUGACUUUCUCCAUUGUUAAUAAUGAUGAUAUUCCUAAAAUGAGGGGGUAGGUUGGAUUAUGACCUAUUGUUUAACCCAUCUUGACCCAACUUAUUUUAAUCCUAUAAAACAUAAGAUGGGUUGAGUCUUAACGCAAUAAUAUCUGCCUAAAUUAGACCCAACCAAGCUAUUUUCCACUCAUAUAGUAGUCUGUAGUUCUUGAGCAUAUGUCAUGAUCACUAUUUAUGGUACAUUAUUAAAUUUUGAAGAAAUGGAGAAUCAAUGCACUUGCUCCUACUCUUUAUUAGAAUUUCUUAUUUGUUUUAAUUCUUUGAGAAUGUACAAAUAUAGUAUCCUUAAUGCUAUGUAGUAUAAGAGGAUAUGUACAUGAUAAUAUUUGGUUAGUUAGGCAGUCACACCAAUUAGAAAAAUAAGAUAAUGAAAAUGAUUAAUCCACUACAAGAAUGAUCAAAGCAUAACUUCAAUGAAGCUUCAAGACAUAAUCCUUUUUCUAGUGCAAAAACCUUUUGUGUGGGAAAUAAUACUAGUGACUUGGUGGGUGCAAAUGGAGUAAAGAUUAUUGAUAUAACCAUUUAGGAGCUAAUGCAAUUUCUUUAGAGAAGGUCUAUAGUAUUGUAGGGAGAAAGAGUUCCCAAAAAUUAUUAUGUAAAUAGAUUCUUUGACCAUGGUGAACUUUAUGAAUGAUGUUUGUGAAGUUCCUUGUAGUGUGACAGUGGAGUUCAACUUCAUUAAUAGGCUAAAGGAGCUUUUGGCAGUAAGAGUAAAACAGUCCUUAGGGGAGGGAAAUACUUUUGCUGAUAAUUUAGAUAACUUGGUUUUGUUUGGCAAGUACUUAUGAAUUCAUAAUUUUCUGGAAGUCCUAACACAAGGCAACAAAAUUUUUAUUCUAGAUAACUAGAGGUAUCCUAAUUUGAAAAUUAGACAAACAGUGGAUGCAGGCACAACAUCCUAGUGUUAUUGAUUUAUUCUAGCAAUGAUUUCAAUGAACACUAACGGCAAAAAAGGAAACUACUACAAAUAUACUUGUGAUGUCUAAAUGAUUAUCAGUUGGUCACUUUAUGAUGUACCUUAUGAGAGUUUGGCAUGUUAAAUACGGUACAUUACUAGGAAAUAUGACUUAUUAGUAGUGAUUUUGCUUGUCUAAAUAAUUAUUGUUCAUUGAUAGAGUUCACAUCUAAUCUCACGAGUAGUUUAAUUUUUGAAGCUAUCAACUUUAGAUGGUGGUAUUAUCCUAAUUGGGUUCAAUCCAUUAAAUAUGACAGCUAAAAAAAUCUAAAUACUCUUAAGAUUUGAUGAUAUUUAUCAAAAUAAAUAGUAUGCUUUCACACAGCUCACAACUAAUAUUAAGAUCUAUUUAAAUUUUGAAGCUAUUUACUUAAGAUGGUGGUAUAUCCUAAUUAGGUUCAAUCUAUUGAAGAUGAAAACUAAGAAAUUCAAAAUGUUCUUAAGAUAUGAAGAUUACCUUUAAUAAAAUAUAUUUCUUCGUUAGAUGAGUUUGAGCACACCCUUCAGAAGCACUUUUCCAGUAGCUUAAAGUGAGAUAUUCUAGAAAAUAAGAUAAGCCUGAUAUCAAUUUUGAAAGUACAAUAAAUUUAUUUCAAUGGUUGUUGAUUUUACCUAAUCUAUAUUUGUGAUAGAAGAUGCCAACUGACUGACUUGAAUAGAUCUUAUCCAAGAUCUAACAGUUACUAAUUAAUCACUGAUAUAUAUAUCUAUGCAGGACUAAUCAUCACAUACCUUAUAUGGUGGUACUUGUAUAGUAAUAUCGAUUGUAUAAAUGGAGUCUUCAAAUCAUUGUGUAGCUUGAGUUGAUCGAUGGAGAUCUACAUUUUCUCAAGAAUGUUCAAGUAAAGGAAAAAGAAAAUUCUCCCCAAUUUCAAACAUCA